GGAUGUAACCUUACUAGUACUGGACAUGCGUGAUUUCGAUGUAAUUUUAGGCAUGGAUUGACUAGCUCCUAAUCAUGCUAGUAUAGAUUGUUCUCGCAAGGAUGUAGUGUUUAAUCCUCUUCCAGAGUCCAAUUUUAAAUUUAAAGAGGUAGAGAUUGUGGUACUUAAUCUCAGCUAUAAAGGCUAGUAAGCUACUCAAUCGGGGUACAUUGAGUAUUUUAGCCAGUGUGGUGGAUACUAGAGAAGCUGGGAUUUUCUUGACAUCAGAAGUUGUGGCAAGACAAUACCGUGAUGUUUUUCCAAAAGAGCUUCAAGGACUUCCGCCUCAUCGGGAGCUUGAUUUUUUCAUUAAGUUAGAUCCCGGUAUCGCUCUCAUUUCGAGAGCCCCGUAUAAGAUGGCUCCAGUUGAAUUGAAAGAUCUGAGGGUCCAAUUGUAGGAAUUGUUGGACAAGGGUUUUAUUCGACCUAGUGUGUCACCUUGGGGAGCACCAGUAUUGUUUUUGAAGAAGAAAAAUGGGUCAAUGCGUCUUUGCAUUGACUAUAGAGAGCUUAAUAAAGUGAAAGUCAAGAACAGGUAUCCACUGCUCAAAAUCGAUGAUUUGUUUGUUCAGCUGCGAGGAGCUAAUGUGUUUUCUAAGAUUGAUUUACGUUCAGGCUAUCACCAGUUGAGGAUUAGAAACAGUGAUAUUUCUAAGACUGCCUUUCGUUCGAGAUAUGAACAUUGUGAGUUCAUCGUCAUGUCUUUUGGUUUGACAAACGCUCCUGUCGUGUUCAUGGACUUGAUAACAAGGUGUUUAAGGAUUUCUUAGACACUUUUGUAAUAGUCUUUAUUGAUGAUAUCUUGGUUUACUCCAAGAUAGAGGCUGGGCAUGAGGAGCAUUUGCAUAAGAUUUUGGAGACUCUUUGGGCCAAUAAACUUUAUGAUAAGUUUUCAAAGUGUGAAUUUUGGCUGAAGCAGAUGACUUUUCUUGACCAUGUAGUAUCUAGUAGGGAGUUUUUGUGGACCCAGUAAAGAUUGAAUUUGUUACUAGUUAGCCUCGACCUUCCACAGUUAGUAAGGUUCGUAGCUUUCUGAGUUUAGCAGGUUAUUACCGAAGGUUUGAAGAGGACUUUUCUCGUAUAGCUACUCCUUUGACUUCAUUAACCAGGAAAGGGACUCAUUUUGUUUGGAGCCCAGCAUGUGAGAGCAGUUUUCAGGAUCUUAAUCAGAAGCUUGUUACUGCAUCGAUCCUUAUAGUGCCAGAUGGAUAUAGAAGUUAUGUAAUUUACAGUGAUGACUCUAAGAAGGGACUGGGUUGUGUCUUGAUACAGCAAGGUAAGAUGGUUGCUUAUGCCUCUCGUCAACUGAAGAUUCAUGAGUAGAACUACCCUACACAUGAUUUAGAGUUGGCAGCAUUGGUUUAAUUUGCACUGAAUAUUUGGAGGCAUUAUUUGUAUGAUGAGAAGAUACAAAUCUUUACUGACCAUAAGAGCCUGAAAUAAUUCUUCACUCAGAAUGAGUUAAAUAUGAGACAAAGAACGUGGCUUGAAUUAGUAAAUGAUUAUGACUGUGAGAUAUUGUGUCAUCCAGGUAAGGCGAAUGUGGUAAUUGAUGCUCUUAGUAGAAAAGUAUCACAUUCAGCAACACUUAUUACCAUAUAGGCCCCAUUACACUGAGACUUUGAGAGAACUAAGAUUGCGGUAUCAGUGGGGGCAAUUACCUAACAGUAAGCUCAGUUAACAGUGCAACCAACUUUGAGGUAGAAAAUUAUUAUUGCUCAGCGUAGUGAUCCUUAUUUAGUUGAGAAGUGUCGCCUUGUAGAAACAUGACAAGCUAAUUAGUUUUCCAUAUCCUCUGAUGGUGGACUUUUGUUUGAGAGGCGUUUGUGUGUGCCAGCAGACACUCCAGUUAAGACUAAUCUAUUGAAUGGAGCUCAUAGUUUCUCAUUUUUCAUGCAUCCAGGUAGCACAAAAAUGUAUCAGGUUCUGAAACGAGUUUAUUGGUGGUGUAAUAUGAAGAAGGAAGUGGAAAAUUUUGUUAGUAAGUGCUUGGUGUGCUAGAAGGGAAAGUUUACGAGCUCGAGAGCUUAUUAUAUUUCUAAUAUUGAUCAAAGGUAAGUUACGUAAUUUUUCUUGUUUGUUUACCUUAGGAACAUUAGCGUUUUUAGCCGUAGUCUUUUAGUUUCAUAAACCUUAGCUUCGAGGCUAAACAUAAUUGUCUAUUUUUUUGAAUGUUACUUUAUAUUUCGAAGCUUAAUUGAAACACGUCUUUUAUUGGUCUCUUCCUCGUUUCUUUAUUUGGAAAAAGAAAAGUCUACCCCAAACAAUAAAUAGUCUAUCAACUAAUACGUGUUGGUAAAUAAGUGGUAUACUAAUUUAUAGCCAUUGAUUUAUUUUCAUGUUGGAAGGAUGGUUGAUUAGUAAGAAUAUAACAUUUGUUUGUAGAUUAAAACAAGAGAUAAGAGAGAGAGGACCACAUUGAUGUAAACUUGUCAUCAAAUUGCAACUUGAAUGAGAAUACCAAUUAAUAAGGGAGGAUCAAAAAUAUUACUCUCUCACACUUCAUCUUCAUCUUCAUCUUCAUCUUCAUCUUCAUCUUCAUCUUCAUCUUCAUCUUCCCCUUCUCUUAUCUACAUCCAACUUUUGAUGAGAACCAAUUACAAUGAUGUAUUUUUUUAAAAAAAAGAAAACACAAUCUUGUCCACGUUGAAAGGUUUUAAAGAUUCUUAUUAAAUCAAUCUUUCAAUGAUAUGGAAGUCAAGGCUAAUAGUAAUUAAUAAAUAAAUCAACUUGACUGUUCUAAUACCAUAUUGAGAAUUUGCAAAAACUGAAAUAGUUCCAAAUUAUAGAAAAGUGACUCCACGUACUCUUAAUUUCAAUUAACCUAAAAUGGCUUCAAUCAUAUCUAUAUAUAGUGUAAUUAAAUUUUGGUUUUUCCAUUUUUUUUAGUAUCAACCAACUGCUUGUUUUAUUUUAUAUUCUUUCCUUUUCUUCUUUCCUUCUUUUUGUUUUUUUUUUCGUUUUUCUUUGUUAGCAGGGAUAGUAAGCAAAAUAAUACUAAAAGAAAAGGAGGAUAUGAAAUAACCAUAGUGAAUGCAGCGAAUGGACGUCAAGUGGUUGAUAUUAUCCCUCCACGAAAGUACGUAGAGUACUAACUUUAUAUUUGAUUGAAAACAAAUAGCGAUGUGACAAAAAGUAGUAGAUGUGUUCAAAUAACAUGACAUCCCAAAGUUGUAAAAGUUGAGUUAGAUUGCAUUAUAUUAUGUUCUAUUUUGGUUGGAUUGGAUCCAAGUUGAUGAAAAUGUGACGUUGAAAAAACUAAAGCAAGUUAAGAUAGUUGAGGUAUUUCUUUCUAUUACCUAAAUAUGGUAUUAGAACUCAUAUGGUUAUUGGGUCCAAUCAUGUUUUAGUAAACUAACUAUUUAUGAAGGCAAAUCAAUUUUUCAUUUGGUUAUUUAUGAAAUCUACAGCUUUUCAUCUCAACUCCCCAAAAUGUCUCAUUAACUCUUUUAGUUAACUAUUGAAAAUAGUUAUUAUAUUUUACUUCAUCCUACAGAACUCACCAUUAAAUCAACGUACGUGUAUGUAACAUAUACAUGUAUAGAUACAUGUAGAUACAUGUGUGUGUGUGUAUAUAUGUAUAUAUAUAUAAUUUCCAACAGAAGUUCAGCUCUUAAUAACAUAUCUAUUAUCUCUGUAGUAUCCUCAAUUUCAUAGUAAGCAUUUGUAGCUAAUUUAAUGAACUGAUACCAUAAAUGGGUUUCAAGUUGUUUCUCAAAUAAACAUAUUGUAUCAUAAUUAAAGCAACAAUUUCUUUUUAUUAUAUAAAGAAAUUAUAACACUUAAAUUUAAAUCUUAAAGCCAAAAAUUGGAAAAAGGAUAGAAGCAGAAGUUUAUGAUAAAAAUGGAAACACUUAACCAAGUAAAAAAAUAAAGUCCAUAGUAACUAAUUAUAGAAAAACAAACCAUAAUUACUAAAUGUACUGUUGUAUUUUAUUAUACAAGUGGAGAACCAAUCACAAUUUCUUAGUCCUUUCUUAUUGUUAGAUAUCCAUUCAAAGUGCAAAAAUCAUCUUUUGAGAUCUCAACUCAACUAAAUAUCAUAACUUUGAUGCAAAUAUUCCUAUCUUCAACUUCACUAAUUGGAUUUUAAUGCCAAGGUUUCUAAACAAUAUAAUAUAAGAGAGAGAGAGAGAGAGAAUCAUAUAAUCAAAUUUGAAGAAAGAAAUGAAUUUGCUUCAUCAAAUUGCUUUCUAUAAGAGCAAUCCAAUCACUUGAUCAUUUCUUUUCUUUUUUUUUUGGGGUUCACUUUAAUUUGUUUUCCUUUUUUUCCCAUUUUGUUUGGUCCCAGCCAUCCUCACUUUUUGUUUCAUCUUCUCCUUAUUAGGAAAUUAAUCACAUCUUCUUCCCCCACUACAUAACUUCUUUAUCAAUAUGGCAUCCUUACUGGAUCCCAUUAUUAGACUUCCUAAUUAUACCAAUAUUAAACCCUAAUUUUUUUACUUAUGAUCUUAUUUAUCUACUUUUUAAUCUUUUCAAUAAUAAUUCUUCUCAUUAAUGUCAUUAUUCUUUAUACAAUUUGAGAAAGAAAUAAGAUGGUUGUUCCCCCCCACCCCAUGUUUGAGUUUUAAUCACUCAUUUUCAUCCAUUAAAUUGCGUUUAAUAUGAAGUGUUAGACCCGAUUGGUUUGUUUUUGUUAUUACGUUCUUAAAAACAAAAAUUACAAGGAAAACAACUAAAACAUCAUUGCUAUACUUACUUUUAACAUUUUCAUUUUUUUCCUAUAAUUAUAUAAUAUUACAAAAUAAUAAGGAUACAAAUUUCUUUUAACUUUUAACAUGUUCAUUAUUUUUUACAACUGUUGAAAUUAGAAUCCAAAUUUUUAAUUAUGCUACCCUAACACAUACUUGAUAAUAUGGAAUGUAGUGUAUUUUGGUUAAAUCAAUUGUUUUCAAAUUCUCUACCAACAAAUGCCUUUCAACUCAUUGUUCAAAAAUCAUUUUUAACAUCGGCCAACAUCAAAUAUGUGAAAGGAAAAAGGUUUUGGGCCUAUGAAACACUCCAUUCUUUGAAAAAGAUGAUCUGUACUCGGCUAUAUUCUUUUUGGGCUUUCUACUUAACCAGCCCAAUUUCGUAGACUCAUCUACACAAAGAGUGAAGAACAAGUGGAAGAGGACGAGGAUGAAGAACAAGUGGAAGAGUAGUGUAAAGAUGCUGAGAUGGAGGAACUUGAGAAAGAAUACACUGAUCUUCAUCACCAAAAGCAGAUUAACAUUACUGCCUUUUACACUUCACUUAACAAAUCACAUGUUUUCAGUAAUUAUUCAUGUAGUAGAGAAGAUUAUAAAUGGUUUGUGGUUUGUUGUCCUUCUAAUUCCUUUUCUUUUUCUUCUCUUUAAAACUUCAAAGUUUCUUAGAUGUUGUGUAGAUCAUUUUGUUUUAUUAAAUUAAUUAUAACAAGAACAAUUAGAAAAAGAUUUGCUUGUGUUUAUUGUUUUUUUUUUCUUUUUUUUCUCUUUUGCAUUUUCAAACUUUUAUGUGUUCUAUAUUAUUUUAUCUAUCUUUUUCAAUUUUGGUGCAUUUCAAUGAAUUUUGUAUAUUCCUUCAUUUUUUGGUCGAUGAAUGCUUGGUUCGUACCCAACAGAGACAUUUUGAAGAAUUUGAAGCAACAUAAGGAUGAAGAUUUUCUUAAACAUCAAGCAGUAAAGAAUCAAAGGGUAUCUCAUAUCUUCCAAUGAUUCCAUUUCAUGUUCUACCAAAUAGGUUUGAGUUUAUGUGCAAUGGAAUAUAUUCAAGGAAGCUCCAAGAGGUAUGAUUUUUCAUAAAACAUUGUUCAUUCUAUUCAUGAAGUUCAUGGUUGUGUUACCUCUUCUAGUAACUCUGUGGAGUACUCUGCUGUCACAGGUUUUAUUUGAAAAUAAUAAGCAUAUCGACCAAUUGUCAUUGAUGGUAUGAAAAUUUUCAUCUCUGCGUCUUUCGAUACCAAGUAACAUUUUUUAGUGACUUCUUGAACUUUUCAUGAGAAGGAAUGAAAAAAAGUGGAUUUUAUCAUGCAUAUUAUAGUUAUUAUCCCGUUAAAUAGAGAAGUGAUCAUUAACUUUGAUGGGGAUAGUUGGGUUUACUUAUUUUCUACUCCUUUCAUAAAUAGUAAUUUGGAUUAUUCUCGUGGCAGUGGGCUUGUUAGUUCAACUCUACUCAACAAAUCUAUUUUGGAAGUUAUGUUCGGCAGGGUCAUCAUAAAGAAAUACCUUCAGGAACAAUAACAAUAACAAUGAUAAUAAAAUCAACAACAAUAACAAAGACUAACACACAUAUUUAAUAUUUUUCUCAACCUUAGACCAAAAUAAAAUUUUAAAAAUAAAAACAAAGACUUACCGACGAGGGGUGGAAGAGCCCAACAGUGGAAGGGCAGCGGCAGACGAUGACGACGACGACAAGGAGAAAAACACACAAGAGAAGACCUUGACAAUCAUAAAAACAUACCUAUUUAGUAUUUUUUUUUCUCAAACUCAAACCAAAAAAAAAAAAAAGUAAAAAAACAAACAUCUAUCGAUGAGGGGCAUACGGAGGCUCACAAGCAUCGACGGUGACAGCAAGCAAUGGAUGGUAGACGAUGAGCGAUGGUGGACCUUCCUCCUCUUUUGGCCUUCAAACCCUUUCAUUCAUCUCCCUCGUUUUCGUUCUCCCUUUCCCUCAUUUUACAUAGAUCUAAAAAUGGUAACUGAACGGGAACGCUCGACGUAUGACUUAAAUACGUUAUUACACACAGCAUUGGAAGAAGUUUAUUAUAUUAAAAAAAUUAUAAACCUCUCCCAACGUCAUGCAUAGGGACUUCGGGAGAAGUUCAAUAUAUUUAAAAAAUUAUAAACUUCUUCUGACACCAUACAUAACGGCUUCAGAAGAAGUUUGUAAUUUUUUAUUAAAUGAUCUUAUACCAACGUCGCCUUAUGUCGCGUCGGAAUUAUCAACUCUUCCUGACAGAGCUUCUACGAUGUCGGAAGAAGCUUUUUCUCCCAACGUCACUUAUUCCGACGUUUGUGUUGUACGUCCAAAAAUACAUAUUUUCUUGUAGUGCACCAGAACACUGUACUUAAGUACUUGAACUUAGCUUGAUCACCUAGCGCAACGAUAAUCGUAGUAUAGAAAUGAACUAUAUUGAUAUAAACAUGAAUCGGUCAUAUAAACAGUAUAUAUUUAACUUACUUUAGAAGCAUCAUCUCAUAUACACAUAUAUAGUAUUAUCAGAAUAAAAAAAAAAACUGACAAAUAAAGUAUAGCAAAUGUCCAAUAGAACUAAGAACUGAUAUACCCUCUAAACAAGAAAAUGACGAGACACAACCACACAGAGAGAUGUUAAGAAUUUGGAAACAACACACAAUUAACCAAUAGCUAAAACAAUUCAUAAUUUUAUGGGAUAUUCCCUAUAUUACUUACCAUUUAAGAUUUGGAUUAUUCAUUAAAACUGAAGAUUUACAUUAAAUGCAAAAUAUCGAAAAUAAUAAAAAAAAUCAGAUUAUUAAUUAAAAUGAAAAUGUAACAUUAAUGCAAAAUACAAAAAUCUUCUUAUAUUACACAUCAUUAAUAUCAAUUUCCAUCCAUGAUAAAUAAUUAUAUUUCUUAAUAAAUAGAUAUUUGAACAUAGUGCUAAAUCAGCCCUAAAUUUAAGAGUAAAUCCUAGCAAUGAAAUAUAUUCUGAGAACUCAUGAAAUAUCGAUUUAUAACUAAGCUUUCUGUGUAAAGGUUUCUUCUCUUUUGUAGGUUGUUUUUAAUGUAUUUUUCACCCAACUUGAUUUUGUGUCUUGUGUAAUCUGUGUAGUUUACGAGAUAACUUUUUAAUGUGGUCUUGAAGAUCUAUCAAUUAAACACUUAAAUUUAGGAUACAAUUGGGUGAAAUUGAAAGAAAAUGGAAAAGGAAAUAAGGUAAAAUUCCCCAUAUCGUAUUCUUAAUUUAUGCCAACCUUUACAGAGUAUCGAUGGGAAGAACAUUGUUAUUUAAAUUCUUUUAGCUUGGCUUCUCUUUAGUAAAUACAGGUCCUUUUCACAAACCCAAAUAUGGAAAAAGUUCAAAAAUCUGUUUCAAGUAGAAAUCUUCAUCACCACAUCUGCUUUUGUGGAAGAGAGGAGAAAUUAAUGAGUAAUGCUUUAAUAGAAGAACAAUAAUUGGUACAUCUUCAUUCCAUCUGAGGAGCAUUAGAAUGAAAUGAUCAAGGAACAAAAAUCAAGUUUGUGUGAGUUGAGAGCAGCAAUCUGGACAUCGGAAGCGACCCUUGGCGUUGCAUCUCGUACACGGGAUAGAAGGCACAUUUGAUUCGUCUUUGCCCAAUGCUUCGUAAAAGUCAGCAAGAAUGUUAAUGCCAAACAGUCCACCUGAUUUGGUUGAUCCAACUCCUUUACAUUUUGAACAUGCUAUCAUCCUCAGGUCACCACACCUUUUGCACAUGCCCAAGGAUCUGUUCAGGCAGAGAAAAUACUUAAUUACAUUCAUCAUAAUCAACUACAUCCAUUGUUUUAUUAUAGUCAUUGUAGUUUCAAGUGUCCAAUGGAAAUUUCCAUGCACUUCCAAUGAAUCUUUAAAACAAUCCCUAUUAAGAAAAAGAAACAUUAGGCUCUAAUUACCUUUCCAACUUUGUAACCAUAUUCACACAAUUUCUAUUCUUGAAUAGGUCAAAAUUUAAGAGUUAUUGAAGGUAUAUUGAUCAAAUUUGGACAUAUGAAAGUAAAAAGGUCAAAAUGACAUGGAACCAAAAUCCUAGACUAAAAUGGUAAUCAAACCUUUUACGAAGUUUAUGCUUAAACUGAAUACAAAGGAGUGUUAUCUUAACUACAACAAAUGUGGGGUACGGCCACAAGGAAAGGAGGAAAGGAGUAUAUAUGUCAACUAUCGUUGAACUAUAAUUAUGUUAAUGAAUAGCCCACCCUCUAAUAAUCGUUUAAUGUGUUUUCAACAUUCGAUUGAAGUUUAAAAUACAGUUUUUAAAUUCUCAUUCAUAUACAUCAAUGUACAAUCACACGUCAGAUUUGUUCUAGCCCCUCAUGUAUAAUUUCUCCAAGGGAAGGGAUGGAUGAAUCAUGUAGAAGGUUGAGGUUGAAUUAAAGGAGAAAACAUCUAAAGGAAAAACAAUGUAUCCAUUAGAAAAUGCAAUUUUCAGAUAUGAACAACAGCAGUCCCAAUGAAAUGUCACUGAUAGAUGCAAAAAUGUAAUGUUUAAGUACUGGAUGCAUCCAAAAAGCAUAAAUCAUAAAGUGGAAACCAAAUAAGGUUUCUUAUUAAAAAAAAAAAUGCGUAAACAAUCCCUAAACCAGUGGCCAACAGACAGACUGAAGGAAACAAAAACAUAAAUGAAUAGAAGUCAUGGGUUAUUUUCAAAUUGGGUUACUCCAUCAGAUAAUCAUACAGAACCCGUCAAAAUUUAGGUGAAAUGAAGAAGCCAGAAAAUGAAAAGAGUAGAGAAAAACCUGCGCUGAGAAGAAGAGAUGAAAGCGUCGAUUCUUGGGGCAGAAAUGGUGGCGCAAACGAGCAAAGCGCCCACUGCGAAACCGGCAAGUUCGCUCCCUGUUAUGCUCUCCAUCGGAUUUGAUAAUCUUCACUCAUCAUCCAAAUCCAUUAAAAUUAAACUAUCAUUUUAUAUAUAUUCAAAUUUAUAAACUUUUUGAUAUUUUAUCACAAAGGCCUAUUGGCUCAGCUGUGGUAUCGCAGGUUCGAAACCUACAUGGGCCACUGCACUUUGUUUUUAUAGUUUGACAAAUAUUGAUAACAUGUUGACCCACUUUUUUUUGCAAAAGUUAAAAAGAAAAUUUCAUUAAUAAAAUAAAAAAAUUUACACUUUAUUAGUGGUGAGGUUUAUUAUUUGUAUUAUAUUUAUUUUAGUGAUAUUUUAUUGCAUCUUUUUUUUGACAUAACGUUAAUGUCUGAUCCAUCUCUUAUGUAAAUAUCAAACCCAUAAAUAUGUAUAAAUAUUUAUGGAUCUGUUUGGAAUACAUUCUUAAAAGUGUUUAAUUUAAAAAAUAAGUCAUUUUAGAAAUAAAUUUAAGGUGUUUGACUACUACUAAACAAUAUAUUUUAAAGUCUAUUUUAGACAAUUUUUUAAUUAAAAAGUUUAAAUAAAAAUAUGAGUAUUUUAGAGUUGAUCGAAUAUCUAACUGUGUUUAUAGCAAAGAGUCGUUGUUAAUUUAUUAUUUUUUAAUUCAAAAAUGCCCUAAGUAGUUUAUGAAAGGGCUGACAAGAAGAAUAGAAAAUAUGAAGUUUACUUUGCAUAAAUGACAAAUUUGUUUUUAAAUUGAUAAAAAAGCAUAAUAGAAAAGAUUUGGGUAAAAAAAUUGCUGGAACAAUGUCUUAAAUGUCAUUUACCUAAGUGAAAACUUAAUCUUCAAUAUAAUUAUUCAAAAAAUCACAAAUACCCUAUAUAAAUUAAAUCAAACCCCAACUCAAUUAACACUUAUCAAAAUUCUAAUUGUGGACUUUACCACAAACCUCAAUGGCUCAAGGCAAGGUAGAGGUAGGGACAGUGCACAAACCGAGCUAAAAGACAGUGUGAAAAGAAGAACUGGGUGUGGAUUGCCUGGAAAAAGAGAACUCAGCGCACGCGGCUCAGAUCUGGCUUGGAUGCAAACAAAGUGGCUCAAAUUUAGGCGUGUAAAAUGGAUGGGCUCGACCAAAGAACGAAACAGAGAAGCUACGACCAAAAUGAACUAGGGACGACUUGAUGGUCGAUGGAAAGCUUGCAACGAAAAGGACGACGACAGCAUGGAACAACAAAAUACUACGUCAUUCAACUUAGGUCAAGAACACAACGACUGGAGACGACGAGCUUUAUUAUACAGAUUAUCAAAUUGUCAUGAAGAUUGUUAUCACAAUGAACAGAAAAUUAUACAUAAAUAUAGAUCUGAGUCCAACGAAUUCACGUUGUCUCCUUAAGACAAAUUUAAUCACCCUAGUGCUUGAGUAUUUAGAGUAAUUGUCUUCCAGAAUAGAACAUAUCAACUUUCUUUUAAAUGUAGCACCCCGUAUAGAAGAUCUACGAAUGAAACCAUGUGAAUCUACUAAACGUCAAGAUUGUGGAUAUGCAGAAAAUUUUGUUUAUAGAAGACAAAUGAUUUUGAUGUAUUUUUUUCUCUCAACCAAAAGGACUUAUUUAUAGAUUUUUUGUGGCCAUUCGAAAAGUCAUGUCCUUUAGUUAAUAACACUUUUCAUGAAAUGAUGCAUUCACACAUGAUGCAUCCAUUCAUGAAGAAUCAUAACCAAUUAUUACAACCCCCCCAUAAAUAGUAAUUUGACAAAGGUAGAAAAUAAUCAUUACGUAUUUUCCAAUGGAGAACCUACAUGAGAAUAAGUAAUAUAAACUUUGUACUUUCUCUAGUGAAAAUCAAUCGAGUUUACUUGGUUAAUCAGUAGACAUGAUGCCUUGAACCGUCAAUCGUUGUAGAGUAAACUAAAACAAUAGAUAUCACACAUCUUCUAAUUAUAACAAAGUUUGUUCUCAUGGUUGUGUUCAUUUUGACCUUAAACACCACUUGGUCUCAUGAGUGUUUUAGAGAAUUUUGCCUUAGAAUUCUAAUAGAAGCGACCCCUUCACACUCACAUAGGUGAUUCAUGUACAUACAGAACAUCAUAUAUGUUCUUUUUAUUAAUAAGUAUCACUAACAGAAAUCAUUAAAAGCAUAAAGGUUACUCUAAAACCAUAUUGGCACUACCUCAUUAUUCGUAGAAUGGGUAAAAUCUUUUUAAUGCAGUGCUUGUUGUGUUAUUUAGAGAUCGGUUUUCCCAUUGAACCUAUAUCUCGGGAUCUCCAGUCAACUAGGUUGGGUUGCCUCUCUGGAUAACUUCAUAUUAUAGGCUUUAAUCCCAUUUUUUUUUAAUGAAUUUUCAACUAACUCCCUAGUUAGGUCUUUAGUAAGUGGAUCCGCUAUAUUAUCUUUUGACCUCACAAAGUCAAUUGUGAUAAUUCCACUAGAGAGUAGCUGUAUGAUUGGUAUAUGUCGAGAUUUACUAUUAUACAUAAUAUUUUGUGCCCUUCCAAUAGUUGUCUGACUAUCACUAUGUAUACAUAUUGCAGGCACUGGUUUAGACCAAUUGGGAAUAUCUUCCAAAAAAAAUUUGAAGCCAUUAUGCUCCUUCUUCAGUCUUAUCUAAAGCUAUAAAUUCAUAUUUCAUUGUGGAUCGUGCUAUACAUGUUUGUUUCUUCCAAAAAACAGCACCGCCUCCAAGGGUAAAAAUGUAACCACUUGUAGAUUUGGAGUCUUUAGUGCUUGAUAUCCAAUUGACAUCACUAUAACCUUCAAGUACAACAUGAUAUCGAGUAUAGUAUAAUCCAUAAUUUUUAGUAUGCUUUAAGUAUCCCAAAAUUCUCAAUAUAGCUUUCCAACGAUCAUGACUUGGAUUACUUAUGUAGCGACUUAACUUGCUUACAGAAUACGCUAUAUCAGGACGUGUACAACUCAUGAUGUACAUCAAACUACCAAUGAUGCGAGAAUAUUCUAAUUGUGCUAUACUAUCUCCAUUAUUUGUACCUAAAUGGAGACUAGCAUCAAUUGGGGUGUUUGCAAUCACAAUGUCAUGUUUUGUGUAUUUGUUUAAUAUUUUAUCAACAUAAUGUGAUUGAGACAGCACUAACCCUUGUGGGGUUCUAGAAAUUUUAAUACAUAGAAUAACAUAUGUGACACCCAUGUCUUUCAUCUCAAAUUUAUUGGCCAACAUUUGUUUGGUUGCCUUAAUAAUGUUGAUAUUGCUACCUAUAAUUAACUUAUCAUCAACAUAUAAGCGCACAAUGACAUGGUCAUUCUCAUUGCUUUUGACAUAUACACAUUUAUCACAUUCAUUGAUUUUAAACCCAUUGGCCAUCAUUACACUGUCAAAAUUUUCAUGCCAUUGUUUUGGUUUUUGUUUUAGUCCACAAAGAGACCUAAUUAAUUUGCAAACUUUCUUUUCUUGACUGGAAGAAACAAACCCUUCAGGUUGUUGCAUGUAGAUCUCUUCAUCUAACUCAUCGUUUAAAAAUGUCAUCUUGACAUCCAUCUAAUGUAUCUCAAAUCCAUGCAAAGCUGAUAUUGCUAUGAGCAUGCGAAUUGAAGUAAUUCAAGUAACAGGUGAGUAUGUAUCAAAAUAGUCAAGUCCUUCUUGUUGCUUAUAACCUUUGGCAACAAGUUUUUUCUUAUAUUUAUCUAUUGACCCAUCGGUCUUCAUUUUCCGUUUGAAAAUCCAUUUACAACCAAGUGGUUUACUUCCUAAUGGAAGAUCAACUAGUUCCCAAGUAUGGUUAUGUAUAAUGGACUCACUUUCACUAUUCACGGCCUCUUUCCAAUAUGGAGCUUCAGGAGAGGACAUGGGCUCUUUAAAUGUUUAAGGUUUGUUUUCUAACAAAUAAGUUAAACUAGGCCCAAAUGAUUUUGAGAUCCUCAUCCUUUUACUUAGUCUAAGUUCCUCAUCCUUCGUUAACUCAACAUUUGAUCUAUUAUGAGAUUCACUCGUUAUAGCAUCAAACGAACGUUUUUGUAACCUUGCUUCACAAGACAUUUUAUGAGAAAAAACAUUCUCAAAGAAUAUUGCAUUCAUUGAUUGUAUUAACAUGUAUAUCUGAAAUAUCUUAUUUAUGAACUAUAAAUCGAUAUGCACAAUCGUUACUAGCAUAACCAAUGAAUAUGCAAUCAACAAUUUUUGAUCUGAUUUUAACUAUUUUAAGUUUAGGCACGGCAACCUUUGCUAGGCACCCUCACACUUUUAAGAAUUUGUAUGAAGGUUUUCGUCCUUUCCACUUUUCAUAAGGAAUAUUUUGUGACUUCUUAUGAGGAAUUCUAUUUAAUAAAUAAUUUGCUAUCAACAAAGCUUCUCCCCACAAAUUUUUGGGUAAACCUGAACUUAUAAGCAUUGCGUUCAUCAUUUUCUUAAGUGUUCGGUUUUUUCGUUCAGCAAUUCCAUUGGAUUGAGGUGAGUAGGGAGUAGUAGUUUGGUGAAUAAUGUCAUGUUCUGAACAAAAUUGUUCAAAAGGGGGACAAUAUUUGCCACCUCGAUCACUUCUUAUUGCCUUAAUUUUUGUGCAAAAUUGAUUUUCUACCUCAUUUUUAUAAAAGCUUAAACAUUUCAAUUGUCUCAUCUUUGCUUUUCAGCAGAAAAACAUAACAAUAUCUUGUGCUAUCAUCGAUAAACGUAAUAAAGUAUUUUUUUCCACCUCUAGUUUGCAUAAAUUUCAAGUCACAAAUAUCACCGUGAAUUAACUCUAAAGACUUGGUAAUUCUUUUAGUUGAAUGAAAAACUGCUUUAGUAUUUUUUAUUCGACACACACCUCACAUCUAUGAUUUGUGUCCAAAGUGAAUUUUGGAAUUAAGUUCAUACUAAUUAGUUUUCGCAAAGAAUUAAAAUUAACAUGUUCUAGUCUGCCAUGCCAAACAAAUGACUAAACAAUAUAAGCAAAACUAGAUACUUUAUUAAUAAUACUUGAAAAAAAUGAAAUACUGUUAAGCACCCUCUAGUUAUACCACAUGCAGUUGACUUUAGAAUUAACUAAAGAUACAAGUAAAAGAGUAAAUGCACAACACUUUGUUAACCCAGUUCGGUAAAUUUAACCUACGUUUGAGGAGCAUCCUUGCUCAGAUCAGGAAAAUUAUUAAAGAUCAUUCUGAAUAACAAAAAAUCCUUGUUACAACAAUAGUCAUAACUAUAAUUCGUUUAACUUCAGGCCCCCCCUGAAUAGAAUGUGUAACUAGUAAUGAUCAUCAUUAGGCUCCCCCUGAAUCUAUGAGGUCACCCCUCAAGUCGAUGCUUCUAGUAAAUAUUCCUGAUCUUUUCAACGAAAUCUUGCACCAUGGGAUUUAUAUCUUGAAUAACAAACAACAGAUAACUAGGGCAGAGGUAAUCACCUUUUUCUUUCUACUUCCUCCUUGCUUUUCUUUCAAUUCAGUUGUUUUUUUUUUUUUUUAUUAUCUCUUCUCCGAAAAGUACAUCACUAAAUCAUUCAUUGAUGCUCUAGUUUAUAUUUAUCCUCUCUUUCAUUUAGAUUCUCAUCCCUUAUUCUUAGGAUACAAUAUUAACUAAUGAAGGAUUAAUUUAUGAUUCACCUUCAUUCUCCUUUAGCUGUCCUAGUUGCAUAGAAAAUGGACAACAAGGCAGAACUACUAGAAGAAAUGAACCAGUAGCCAUCCGAAGGUCUACCAGAGCCUCCAAACCCCCACCAUAUCUCCAAAGCUACCAUUGCAACCUACUACACAAUAAAAAUACCCUAUCCCCCAACUUAAAAUACCCUCUACAAAAAGUCCUUUCUUAUGACCACCUUUCCCUAUAAUACAGAAACCUUGCCUUAAAUAUCUCAUCAUCCCAUGAACCACAAUUCUACCAUCAAGCAGUGUCAUAUGCACAUUGGCAUGAAGCUAUGAAAGCUGAACUCUUAGCUAUGGAAACAAAUAAGACAUGGACUAAUGUUCCUUUACCAAAUGACUGUCAUUCAAUAGGAUGCAAAUGGGUCUCCAAAAUCAAACAUAGAGCUGAUGGAACCAUAGAAAGAUACAAAGCCCAGUUGGUAGCAAAAGGAUACAACCAACAAGAAGGCUUAUACUACAUUGAGACAUUUUCUCCUGUAGCAAAACUAGUGACUAUUAAAGUUUUGCUCAAUCUUGUAGUUUCCAUGAACUGGCCUCUCAUCCAAUUGGAUGUAAAUAAUGCAUUUCUACAUGGAGAUCUAACUGAAAAUGUAUACAUGAACCUUCCUCUUGGCUACAAACAUGACAUGGUUGCUAGAAAGGGGGAGCAACUCGUUUGUAAACUACACAAAUUCAUGUAUGGACUCAAACAAGCCUCUAGGCAAUGGUUUGAUAAAUUUUCUCAAGCUUUAAUAUUACUCGGCUUCUCACAAUCCAAGUCAGAUUACUCUUUGUUCACAAGAGGAAGAGAUUCCUCCUUCACUUCCCUAUUAGUAUAUGUUGACGACAUCAUAAUCACUGGAGCCUUUACAGAAAUCAUAGCCACACUAAAAGCAUAUUUGAACUCUGCUUUUAGACUAAAAGAUCUUGGCACAUUGAAGUAUUUUAUUGGUUUAGAGUUGGCUCAUUCCACAAAAGAGAUUGUCAUGUCUCAAAGAAAUUAUGUCCUACAACUUUUAGAAGAUACAGAACUUCUAGCAUCUAAACUAACUUCCUUGCGAAUGGAUCCAAAUGUAAAAAUGAAAGCAAAUGGCGGAAAAGAAUUGGUUGAUGUCUCUUCCUAUCGAAGACUCAUUGGUAGAUUAUUAUAUCUCACCGUUAGUCGGCCAGACAUCAUGUUUGCAGUACACAAACUUAGUCAAUAUGUCACGCAUCCUUGUCAGUCACAUAUGGCUGCAGCAAAUCAUUUGCUCCAAGCCUUUAGUGAUGUAGACUGGGCCUCAUGUCUUGAUACAAGAAAGUCUACUAUUGGUUUCUGUAUCUUCUUAGGAGAUUCCUAAUCUCCUGGAAAUCUAAGAAGCAAUCAACUGUAUCACGCUCGUCUGUUGAAGCUGAAUAUCGAGCAUUGGCUGCCACAGCAAGUGAACUUACAUGGAUUGUUAAGUUACUAAAAGAUUUACAUGUAUUCACAUUAUCUCCCUCACCGAUCUUCUCUAACAACACUGAAGCCACACAUCUUGCUUCCAAUCCUAUCUUCCACGAACGCACAAAGCAUAUUGAAAUGGAUUACCACUUCGUUCGAGACCAAAUAGUUAAGGGAGCAAUAAAUUUGAUGCCUAUUCGAACACAACACCAAGUUGCUAAUAUAUUCACUAAAGCAUUACCUAUCUCUUCAUUUACAACCCUGCUUUCCAAGAUGGGGAACAUUAAUAUCGUAAAGCCAUCUUGAGGAGAAGUAUUAAGGUUAGUUUUAUUUUUAGUUAAUUUGUUAUAUUUGUUAAAUAGCAGUUGUAACCAUUUGUAAAAGCCUAUGAAUAAAGCCCAUGAGCUUGUGUAUUCUUAUUGGCUAUUUAUAACCCAAGUCAUUCAUUAAUAAAACUUGAGCAGAUUAAAUUAAUCUUGAAAGGCUUAAUAUUGAGAAAAAAAUAUCACUUAAUAUGUUCUGGCUAUCACAACUCUGGUACAAACUAGAACCUGAUCACCACGUCUUAUUGUUUCUACAGCUUAUAACAAACAGUAGAUUGAAAAAAAAAUACAUCCAAAAUCCAAAAAACUCAUCAAGUUAUUAGAGAUCAAACACCUAUCGUUGCACAAAUUACACAAUUACGCUUUUCCAUUGGGCAACUUAGCAGGAGCUCCAGCUGGGUUAAGGUCAUCCCAAGCUUCAAUCCAAGUCACCAUGGCGUCUGCCAGCUUGUCAAAGUAAGGGUCUACUUUGCUAAGCUUGUCCUUCACUUGCUUUGCUAGCUCAAUGUAGCACUUUUGAACAGAGGUGCAAUCUUUUGGAAGAACAACUUGUUGGAAGAAUGGGAUGAUGUCUUCCUGCCAAAAAAUCCCUUUGUACUCCUUCCUCAGGUUCACAAAUGGGUUACUUGCCUUGCUAUGGUAGAUGUAGGGCAGUCCUGUCUUCACUCCCAACCCCAGAUGGUCACAUAUAACCUACAUGUAUGUUUACGUAAUCAAUUUAUCAUUCACGUAUAUGUCGUAUAAUGAAUUCAAAACUAAAUCUAUGAUCAGAAGAAGGACUUGUGUAAGCAAGAUCUACAUGUUUGUGAUCCAUCUAUCAUUUGGAUGAACAAUACUUGUUCUAAUAGCAUAGCAUGCUCCUCAGAGUUUUUACAGAUCGAAAAAAAAAUUGGAAUUAAAAAUAUGAUUCAGGAGGAUCAUCAUACAAAACGUAGGUCUACUUGCAUAUGAUCAAUCUAUCAUUCAUAACUGGUUUGUUUUUCUUAGUUUAUUAAAAGAAGUAGAAGGGCACACCUUGAUGCACCAGCCUGCCCACAUAUCGUCGUAUCGACCGAUUGGCUGGCCAUCACCCAUGAGUCCAAAAUACAUUGCAGCACCGAUGAGAUCUCGGUCAAAUGCCAAAUUCAUACCACACAUGGGAAACAAAGUGCCUUUUGGGAUAGUCAGAACAGCAUCCACAAACCUUUUCCAGACAAUGAAGCUCAUUAGACAAAAAGAUUGACCAAAACAUCCAUCCAAUUAAAGUAGGCUUUCGAAAUUGCUCCAUACCUUGUGUUUCUUUCUAGAGGCUUAACAAGCUGAGUUGGUGCAUCGUAAUCAGGAAUAUUAAGCCAGAGGCCGUGAGAAACAGCGGUGGGAACACCCUCGCGCAGACUGAAGGGAUAUCCACGCACAAAGUCGGCGCCAUCACGGUAAGGAUCGUAAAGGGUGUUGAAGAAGAAGGGGGUUGAAGGGCAGAGUAGGUUCUUGAUGUGCUGCCCCAGUGCGUUGAUGGGUUUUCCAGAUGGAUCACUUGCAACCUACAAGCACCAAAAUUUGAAACAAAUGAACUCCAAAAGCAACAAAAACAUUGAAGUAUUAAUGAACAUUCAAAAGCAAACAGGUCAUAAAAAGAAAGCAGAUGGGAAACAGACAUUGAAAAUUGAAAAGGAAGAGAAAAGAGGGAAAGAACUCACAAAACAAUCAUCAUCAAUGGUGAAGAUAUACUUCUUUUUAGAGACCAUAUAGCCAAAGCAUCGACAAGCAGAGUCCUUAAAGGAAAUGCAAUUAGCUCUAGGACCCAGAAUGCGAUUGAUGUCAUUGCGAUUAUAGAGCUCAUAAUCGAAACCUUCAGGGACUUUGAUAGUCUUGGAAGGGUCUCCAUCUUGGACAAUGAUGAGAUGGUAGGGCUGAAAGAAGGGCCUCCACAUCUCGAGGAAGUCAAGAUUUCUGAUGGUGGGGAUGACAAUGUCGAGCUCAUCUUUGAGCAUGGAAGUUGCGGAUGAGGCAGAUUCAGCCAUUGGGAAGGGGAUUAUAUUGAAAUGGAGAAAUUAGGAGAUGAGAUGGGGAUGUGAAGGGAAAGGGAAUUGAGUAUGGAAUUAUAUAAAUGGGAGUGAAGAAGGAGAGAUUGUGAGAGGGCGUAGAGUUAGGCAGAAGCGAGUGGCUUAAAGAAGCCAUUAAAGUAGAGAAACAGAGAGAGGUGUCUGAAUUUCAAAGCUAACCAAUAAUUGAGAAUUAAGAAUUGUGAAAUGAGAAUUGUUCAGUGGUCAAACUCCCCGAAUUCACCGGAUCAAUUUAUGAGCUUCUAAAUAAUUAUUUAUUAUAACAUUCAAAACUACCUUUAUUAUUAUUAUUAUUCUAUAACAUUUUCCAUAGUAUUUUAAUUGAAUUGCUAUUAGUCUAUUGGCCCAUUACAAUUUUCACUCUCAACUCUAUACAACCUCAUUUGUUUUUAUUACACAAAACAAGUUUAAUUAGUUUAUAAGUUUUCUUUGUUUAUUUCGCAUUUUUACACGACUCAUUUCUUCCCAUUUUUAAAUUUUGUGUCUAUGAGUGUUUCUAUCGUUUACCCAACAAAUCUGUAAAACAUGCUAAGUUAAAGUAAAUAAAGUUUUAUAUUAAAUCAAUAGCACAAAGUUUCAUUUCAAAACUAAUUAAUAAUAAAAUAAUUAGUUCAUCUAACUGUUAGUGUUUGUAGUUUUUCCAACAUGAUCAUUACAAUAUUUAGAGGAAAACUUAUUCGUCACUAGAAUGAAUUCUAUCUUCUAUUUUUAAAUUUUAAUACAAUUUUUCAAUUUUUGUCAAAGUUAAGGAAUAAAUAAUAUUACAUUGAUUAUAGUAUAUAUUAGCAACUAUAAAAAGACAUGUAAAGAUUAUAUUUUUGUAAAAGGAUAAUUUACGUAAAUAAAAGAACAAUGAAACUAUUAACUUCAAUUUUUAAAUUUUCCAAAAAUACCCUCGAACAUAUUCAAACUUCGAAUGGUGAUUAAGACAUCUUCUUCUUUGUUGUUCUUUUGGCGAGUCGUGUGUUUCUCCAUUGAUAAUCGUUGGUAUUUUGAUCAUCGAUGACAAUUAUUUCAUCAGAUGAUAACUUGCUUUUCAUCUUAGGCAUUCUCUUCUUCUUGGUAUUCUUCUUCUUUCUUCUUUUCUUUACUCUUCUUCUUUCUAUUGUAUUUAUAGUCAUUGUAGGUUUUCAUUCAUUAAUAUUCAUUUUCUUCUUUAUUCAAACAACCGUUGGAAUUAGUGAUUUUGGUGGAUUAUUUUCUUUCUUCUUUCUUCUACACGUAUUGACAAUUGUUUUAGGUUUUAAUUACUUAAUCAUUUUCUUAGGAUCUUUCUUCAUCUUUAAUAUCAUAUUCUAGAGCUCAAAUUCAAGUGUUAGGUAUUGGAUUUUGACAGAUUAAUUUGAAUUUAAUGCAUGUGAUAGAUUUAUAUCCUUUUCUAUAAUUGAUAGAUAGUGAUAGAGAAAGUGUGAGUAUAAAUAUACUCAGUAAGGGACCCACUACUGGUCUCACUAGAUGCUAGGUGAAUCACUUUCUAUUAGGAGGUAUCAUAGUUCAUAUUAGUCUUGUGAUCUCGUAGGAACACACAUCAGUCAUAAAGUGAACCUAAAUGUACACUUAGUUAUCAAUCUAAAGGUGGUGACCUCGAUGGACACCAUACAUGCAAGGUUCACUAGCCUAAUAGCUAAAGGGUCCAAAUAAGCAUAUUGUAGUUAAACUUAGUCCAAUAAUAAGCAUAAACAUAACAUUGUAAACACCAUCCAACAAACUCUUUUGAGUUAUGGUUUAAAAGUUAUGAACAUUUAAAGUUGAUAGUAGUUUUCUAAAAAAAAUCAGUGUUUUGGAUUGUUGUUGAGUUUGGCAAAGCAUCAGAGUGGAAGAUUUUGUUGAUCCCGCAAGGUAAGCGAAAAAGGUUAUUUUGAGCAUUGGUGUGUCACGCGAGAUAGCCAAAUGCAUAGCUAAGCGACAAGAGGGCGCACACCAGGCUAUGCGAUAGGUCAUGCCAACUAAAGGUGUGCAUGUGUGCGCCGACGAGAGUCCAUGCGAUGUUAGAUGCGCGACACCCUAGCACGCGACAAGUCUAGGCGCGCAUGACAAGCAUGCGGCCAAACCUCCUGAUGGUCUCUACACACGCGUGCAUACCUGCUGCCCAAGCCUUGAGGUUAGUAGUGUCAUGACACCCAAUUUUGAUAAUUUUGAAGUUUUUGGAAUUUUUAGAGUUAAGUUUGGAUAUAUUUUACUUUAGUGGAUUGAUUUAAGUUAAAAUUCUCUAAUUUCAGGACAAGAAAGUAUUGAGCAAAUCUAUAGGUUGGGAGGCUAAUCGAGUAUUGUGAGUGAUCAUUAAACGUUUUAAAAAUAAUUUCUAAGUUAUUGAAGUUCAUUGUUUUACAAAUAUGCUUUCCAAAAUGUUUUCUAACUUUUCAGGUAGAGAUCGUGGAUAAUCGAUACGUAACUGCAUUCGUCGAUCUGCUAGUGACAUAGUUUUGAGUUAGUCUUUUGGGUUGUAUAUAAGCUUGGAUUAUGGUUGUGGGUUGUUUUAGUCUGUUAGUUUUAACUUGAAUGUUGGUUAUUUGUAUAUGUGUAUAUGUCAGGCUCGUGAUGUUUUAUAUUAUGUAAAGUGUGCGUUACACUACAGUUCUAUUGUGUUGUUUAUAGUUGAAUGUAUGUUAUGUUUUCACUAUGCUAUUGGUUUUAGUUAAGGGUAAGUUUUUAGGGUCAGUAGGUACCAUUGAGUUAGGGGUGGUAUCUAUUGACCAAUUACAUUGUCUCUUGGGCUAAGAGUAGGUGGUUUGGGAUGGGGUGUGUGACAAUAUCCACCAUUGACAAACCGUCAUACCAUAAUUCCAUUAUGAUUAUCUAUAUAGUGAUGUCUAUCUCUACCUAUGUAAAAACUAAGAGGAAAAAAAACAUCAAAGUUACGACCAAAACAAACAACCAUAUAACAUACAUAAUUUCCACAUGUAUAUUACAAUAUAACAUACAAAACUCUAGAGAAUAUAAAACAAAAUGAAAAUUUCAAGAAAUCACAAAAUUUUAGAUUGAAUAACUAUGAUUAGUAAAGAAAAACUAGGUUUAAGGACUAUGACGAUCGAUAGAUUGAAGAAGAAGAUAGAGUAGCUGAAACUGAAAAGUUGGACGUUGGAGAGAAAUUGUGGGGCUAAAUAGACUAAUGAGAACGUGUAAUCAUAGGUCAUUUACGUUUUUUGCAUUUUCUUGGUGGACUUCUUGGGUAUUUCACCUGUCUUGUUGGACUUCUAUUAACUAGCUCCAAAUUUUGCUAGACUGAAAUAUUUUUCUUCUAUACUUAAAAAUUUUCAUUUCUAAGAACUACUUUCUAAUUUGAGAAUUUUAAGUAUCAUUCUUUCAAUUGUUUGUAAAAUUUAGAUUAAAUGACUAAAAAGGAAAUAAAUUUAAGCUAUGGAACACUGGUGCCCUUCCAAAAGUUAGAGUGCUCCCAUCAUUUUAACAAAAAUAGAUAUAUCUAUGGGUUCAAAUAUUUAUUGUUAACAUAUUUUUUUGCUUUGAACAAUAAUGUCUUAUACUUUUGUUUUCAACAACUACAAAUUCUAAUUUUAAAAGUAAUGAAAAUUAAAAUUUAAUUUUCUUCCAAAUUUAGAAACGAAAAUGUUAUUUUGAAAAAAAAUAUAUAUUUUUUAAAAUAAAAUAUGAUGAGUUAUUUAACAAAAGUUGAACGACCUAAACAACUCAAAUAUAGAUUUUGACCCAAUUGGAUCAUUUUCUUUCAAAACUAAAUAAAUAAAAGAAAUCACAAACUUUACCAUUUGUUAUUAGUAGCUGUUUAACUUUGUUUAUGCAUUUUUCCAAAAUGAAGUUGGUCUUUUUUUUAGAUUUAGUUUCUUUGUUUUGUGUUUUUCAAUAUGGGCAUCGAUCUUUAUUGACUUAUUUGGUCAUUAUGGAAAGAUGAUAGUUUUUCGAUUCAUAAAUUAUUUGUUGUAAAGUUGACUAAGUUUCCUCGAGUUCAAGGACAUACCAAACAAAUUUCACCUUCUUAAUAAGCAAAUAAAUGAGCCUUUUAAAAUAAGCUAAGGUUCAUACAACCAAGAUUUUUAACAAAAGAUCCGUAAAGGACGUAAAAGAUAAAUAAAAACACUAACUACAUAAGCAUAAACAUAAAAUUAUCACUCCCUCCACUCACUCUCUCUUCCAAAGUCAUUGUUAAACAUAAACUUAAAAUAAAUAAGAUGAUUAUUAAACUUAAAUAUAGACUUACCCCUCUCCCAACACAUAAACACACUUAAAUCUAAAACUCAGCAAACAAAACACCUAUGCUUAUUAUAACAACAGUACAACACAAAGUAUAUAUGACAAACAAAACACCUAUGCUACAAAUAAAACUUUACAAACAAACAAAGUCACGUCAUUUAUAACAACAUAAAGCAAAGUAUCAAGUUCCUUAGUACAUAUCAACAUGAUUCCUAAAACAUAUGUCUAAGUGGAUCACACAAAAUAGCUUUUUAAUGACUACCAUAACUGCAGGAUAGUCAACACAACAACACGUUAUGUAAUCAAACCCACAUGAAAAAACAUAUAAAGUUGCAUGUUUUGCAAAUUUUACCUUUAAGUAAAGUAAAGUAAACAUGCAUUCCAACGAAUUUAGCCCACUCCGAUCACGAUGAGGCCAAGAUUAAUAAUGCUCCAACAUUCCUAAGGGAUGUCGCACAACUAUGGUGGCGUCGACGAUACGCCGACCAAAACGGGAAUGUCGUUCAAACUUGGGAACAAUUCAAGGCCGAGUUAAGGAAGCAUUUUGUUCCCCAUAAUGCUGAGAUGGAGUCAAGAGCCAAACUUCGAAGGCUGCACCACACAGGUAACAUUCUUGACUAUGUGAAAGAAUUUACCACUCUCAUGCUUGAAAUCAGUGAUCUGCCCGUAAAGGAAGCCCUAUUCCAAUUUAGAGACGGACUGAAGGAUUGGGCUAAAGUUGAGCUAGACUGUCACAAUGUCCAAACAUUGGACGACGCUAUAGCUGCAGUCGAGAUGCUUGUUGAUUUUACUGCUCAAUCAAAAGAGAGAAAGCCUAGUCCAAAUAAACGUGAAGGCAAUCGCCAUAAGCAUAAAGACUAUGAGCAAAAAGAAAAGAAAAAGAAGACAUUCCACAAACAUGGCAAGUAUAACAAUACUCAAUGAGGUGAGUCGUUGAAACCCUCUUCUCCAUGUUUUGUUUGUAAUGGCCCCCAUUGGACAAGAGACUGUCCAAAUAGAAAAGCAAUGAAUGCACUCAUUGCUAAAUUGCUUGAGUCGAAACAAGGAGAAGAUAUGCCACAAAUUGGAUCCUUGCAACAUAUCGGAGCUCUAAAGCAGGCCAAGCAAACAACCAAAAGAGGCCUACUCCAUGGAAAUGUAAAUAUAAAUGGGAGAGAGGCUAUUGCCAUGUUUGACAUAGGCGCGAGCCACAACUUCAUGAAUGUGCAUGAGGCCAAGAGACUAGGCCUCAAGUUCGCGAACGAGAAAGGGACUGUAAAAGCGGUAAACUCGGAAGCAAAGGCCAUUAAAGGCGUAGCAAGAGGUGUGAUGGUCAAAAUUGGCGAUUGGCAAGGUAAACUUGACUUCACCGUGCUACCCAUGGAUGAUUUUGAUAUUGUGCUUGGCCUAGGGUUCUUUGACAGGGUAAUUGCUAUCGUUGAUUCUUCUUGGUGUACCCUUACAAUAGUGGAUGGUAAAAUAACAAUCAUCCCACUAAAGAAGGGAAAGUCGGUGAUCAGACAGUCAACCAUGUAGAACAAGAAAGAAGUCACUAACACUCAAUGCCAGGUAGUUACCCCAAAAGGAAUAUCGUCGAAGGAGAAAGGUUCUAAACCUAUAGUCCCAAAAGCACACAAAGUACUGGAGGAAAAGAAGGACGCUAUUAUGAUGACUGUGUUGCCAAGAAAAGAAGACCAAGAGAUCGAAGCGAAACCAUGCAACGCCAAUGCAGUCGAUGACGUCGCAAGCCAGAAAACCGAACUGGCUGCUAUAACUACAAGUAUGCCCAAAAGUGACUUCCUCGACAAAAUCAAGGAAUGGUGCGAAGAAUGUGACAUAUCAAGGGCAUGCUUGGCAAAGGCCGCCACUAAGAUGAAGAAGUGGGCGGACAGGAAAAGGAGGCUCAAAGAGUACCAAGUAGGGGAAAAAGUAAUGGUAAAGCUGCUACCUAACCAGUUCAAAUCCCUACGCAAGGUACAUAAGGGCUUAAUUCGAAGGUAUGAAGGGCCCUUCUCUAUCAUCAAGAGAGUGGGAAAAGCAGCUUACAGAUUGGAACUUCUUCCCAGAUUGAAGAUCCAUAAUGUCUUCCAUGUGAGUAUGUUGAAGCUCUUUUAUGAAGACAAAGAGGAUCCGAGCAUAAGUGAAUCCUCUCGUGCACCUACCUGCAUGAUCUCAGAAUUCAACAGAAAAAUCAAGGAGAUCUUAGUAGAGAGGAAGAUACGAAGGAGAGAAGUUCCCAGUUAUAACGAAUAUCUCAUUGCUUGGGAAGGACUACGAGAGAACGAAGCAAGUUGGGAAAAGGAAGACACCCUGUGGCAAUUUCAAGAUGAAAUCAGAAGAUUUUAAAGCGCAAUGAGGACGUUGCGAAAUCGAGUAGGGGAGGGUGUCACGCCCCAAAAAUGACCCAACAAAUUUUUCGCCAAUUAAGGCUCCUUAGCAUUGACCAAGGGGAGCCAAACAAGUCCCAAGCAGUCCAAAGACCCAAGGAAGAGGAAUAAGUUCAUGCCAAGCCUACGACACGCCAAUGUGCACGAGACAGGCACGCGCGUGCAAGAGCGGCAGGCAUGCACGGCAGAUGGGCACGCGCGGCACGGACACACACGGAGAAGGAUCCGAGAACCUCUCGAAGGUUUCAGAAUUUUUGUGACCGGCUGAGAAGGCUCGCGAACAUGUGCAGGCACGCACGUGCGCCCAGAGGGCUCCAGAAACUUCCAGACAGUGUCAUGAGCACUCGAGAUUUUUCCAUAUUAUUUUUGGCGACCUUGUAAGGCGGUUUAGGGGAUGUCGGUUGUACACUUCUAUAAAUACCCUCAAAGGGGUCCAUUUGUAUCAAUCCUUGGGAAACCAUCAACAAAGCUCUCUUAAGCAUUUCAUCAAACACCUUGUUCAACUCUUGCCUACGUCUUACCAACGAAUUUCCUUCUUCUUUAGAUUGUUCCAACAAGUCCAAUUGCAUCUUAGGCUUAUAUUGGUGCAACCCCAACACCUUUGUGCCGCACGUUGGUUGAGUGAACAAAAUUACCACGUGACAUUAGACAUGCUAAACUCAACCCUUGUUUUGGACAAGAAUCUAGGAAGUUUGUUCUUUUUUCAUUUGGCUUGAAUAUUAAACAUUUUUAAACUUAUAAGUUAUACUUUGUUUUUUACAAAAGAUAAAAUUAAUUUAAGAAGUUCACCGGUCAACCUUCAGACAUCAGCUACGAUGAACACAAUUGACCAACCUCAAGUUAUCACUUUCGCUGACUCCACCAAAAAACUUUCAACCACAACUCCAACAGCUCCGAUGAAUAGUGGUUGAGCUUAGUUGGAGAAAAUUGGUUUAAGAUUGGUGUUGCAAGAAAAAUUGGAGAGAAAUUUUACUAAGGUUUGGUGGUUGUUAAGUGUUAUGAUUGAUGUGUCACUGUUUUAAUAUCAUGGUUAAAGUGUCAUGUGAUACCUGUUUCUAAUUUGAGUAUAAGAAGAAAAAUCUGGCUAAGUGUUUUGAAAAUGGUGUUCUGGAUAAGAUGAGGCAUUUUGAAAUAAGACUUCGCGAUAAGAAGUUGGCAUUUGAAACAACCCGCAAAAAGGAUUAAGUGAUAAAAUCUUAUAUGGUUAAGUAUAAGUUUUGCGAUUAAGAAGUUAGUUCGUAAGGAAGUUUUGCGAAAAGAAAGAUUUGCGGUAGGACCUUGAUAACGUGUGAAAAUGCCGUUAUUAUAGUUCUUUUUGUUAGAAUAAUGAGACUAAAACGCCUAAGGGAUGCUCAAAACGCGUAACUUAUGUUGUAAAUGCAGAAAUAUUUAGAAAUAUGGUUUGCAUAAAUGUCAUUCCUAUUUUACGUGUUUAACAUGUUUAAAUACAUGACAAGUGGGUACAAGUAAAAGGAGCAAUUCACAUGCGACAUCUCGUGCAAGGGCGAUGUGAUGGAUCGUGCUUGACGAUUAACAACCCAAAGCGAUGAACCUAUAACAUUAUGCAAGGAAAGCUCACAAAACGACAAGGAUGGUAGUUGGAAUGAUAUGACUUCUCAAGAGCAGAUGACAACACUAACACACUCAAAGGAGCAGAGUUUUUCCAUAGAAAAAACAGUAUAUACAAGCACUUCAUCCCCACCAAGAGAAAAGGGGGUGGGAGAGAGGUCCAAAUAGGCCUAGAGCCUGAAUAGGCCAGAGAGAAAGAGAGACUCAAGUGACCUGAGAAAAACACGAAAAGAGAAAGAGUUCGAAUAAAACACUUGGAGAAUAAACAACCAUGACAAAACGAAAGAUUAAUUGUUGUUUAUCUCUUAACUUGUAAUAAUAUGUUUCAUUCUUCUGUCUUUCCAUUUUUUAUUUUAUUGUAGUGUAUAUAUUAUGUAUUUUGUAAAAGGGUCGAAAGCCCAAGAGUAAAAAAAGAAAUGAAAAUUUUAAAUUCACGUAAUUAUACCAAAUUCAUAACUUAAAAGUAAGCUAUGCUUUUUUUAAAUAAAAAGAUUAAAAUUAACAAAAACUCAUAAGUAUAGAAAUUAUAAAUAAAAGAAAAUAGAUUAAAUAGUAUUUAAACUUGAAUUCCCCAAACAAGGAAAGAGUUAAAUAACCCUUUCCCUUAUUCCUUUUCUCUCCUAGACACCCCUUCAGAUUUUAGAUGAUACAUAUUUUUGUAUUUUGUUUCUGUAAUACCCUAAUUUUUAUCAUUAAUUUGAAAAAUUACAUUAUUAUUGAACUCUAUCCAAAAUUCUUUUGCUCCUUAAUUUUAUUUGGGAAAUUUAAAAAAAAUGAGAUUAUUUGCAUGAAUAUAGAGAGUUUUGAGAUGAGUUUUUCAAAAAGAAGACUUUUAGGACAAAUAAGUUGUGAAAAGUCUAUAUUACUCUUUAAUUAAAAAACCCUAAAAAUUAACUUUGUGUCAUUUUCUCCUUUUCCUUCUCCCUCACGUUCUCUUUUUGUGUGGCUUUCUCCUUCUCUUUUACUUUCUCUUCUACUAAGGCAAAGUGCAGUCCGACUUCAACUCUUCUCCUUUCUCAGUCAUCAUCGCGUCUCCUUCACCGUCACCGACUGUUCAAGCCUCCAUGGUGUUCAGUUCAUAUGUGGCGUGCAAGAUUCGCUGCAGGAGAUGCGUCGAGAAAUGCGGAUUGGCGCCCUAUUUUCCUCCCUUUGAGCCUCUCAAGUUCAACAUUGCUCACAGUUUCUUUGGCGCUAGCAACAUCAUCAAAUUGCUUCUGAUAUGUCCUUAAUCCCUAAUUUUUCGUUUCUCUCUUUCAAAUUUUGAGUGUUAUCUUCUUGUUUCUAGGUUUAGAAAUUAUGAAUUUCAUUCUGGAAAUUGAAAAUUGACCUUAAAAACUUGAGGAAAAACCAUUUAAUUAGUUUGGAAAUUUUGAUUGAGUAAUUGAAGACAUCUCUUGUUAGAAUGAAGUUAGUACUGAAAUUGAUUCAACGAAAUCCUUAUAAUAUAUGAACAAUUCACAAUCCUAUUACGUUUGAUUAAUUUUGUUGGAUGAAAAUUUGAAGCUAUUAUAUUCAAGCAUCAUUGGAAAUUAGUAGAAUAAAAUGAAAACACCCCUACUGUUUUUAGAGCUGGAAUGUAGCACUUUUUAAGAGGUUGAGAGUGAAAUGGCUACUUAGGAACCUUUUAGGUGGUUGAGAUUUAAAAAGUGUCACUUAAGCAAUUUUUGGAUGCUUUUGGUAGUCAUAGUGACAUGUUGUUCCAAAAUGUGGUAAGGUAGCUAGUUCAAAAUUUUUAAAGCAUGCAUUGAGUUGGAUCCAAGUUUAUUUGUUUUACUCUACAAAUUUUUGUUUUGUAGUAUGCUCAAAUAAUGUACUAAGCUUUUCACUUCUUAGUCUCCAUUGAAGCUUCGUCAGCGAGCAGUAACUUAACAUGAUCCCAAGAAAAUGGGGUGAUUGGUGGCUACAAAAGAGUCGUGGUGGGUCAUUACAAUGAUCACAAUACCAAUAUACCAAUAUACAAUCUGUUAGAUUUGAUAUACACUAUUAGGAUGUUUUGUUUAUAUAUGAUGAAAUUGCAUUAACUUCAUUUUGUACAUAUGUUCAUUUGUGUACUAAGUUUUAGUUUGUUGAAUAUUUAUAUGUUAGUUGUAUAAAAUAACUUGGAAACUAUUAAUUAUAUCUAGUUGUGAUAAUGCAAAUUUCAAUUUAAAAGUUUUUUUUGGAGUUAAUUAUAGGUUGCGUAUGAGGGUUUCCAAUGACCUAGAUUUUGAUGUUUUUAUUUUAGCCUACAACUUUUUUUUGGCGUUUUUUAGGAAUUUAUGUAUUACUUUUUUUUUUUUAUCUUCCAACAAAAUAUGAGGGCUUAUUAAACUUACUACACAUGUAUAGAAUCACCCUGAAUGACUUAGAAGGGUAGCAAUUUGAUUGUACUCAUAGUGAAAGUUUGAAACGUGCGAGAUAGGUGCAAGAUGUUGCGAGAUAAAACAUUAGGACCUAAUAAACUUACUAAACAUACAUAGAAUCACUCUAAAUGGUUUAUGAAGGAUAGCAAUUUCAUUUUGAAACUCUUAGUGAAAUUUUGAAAUGUGCGAUAUAGGUGCGAGAUUCAACGACUGAAAGUUUGAAAUGUGCAAGAUAGGUUCACACAUUACAAUCUUUCACUCUAAGUUUCUAAAACACUUUUUCUAGAUGGUAAGUCAGUGUUUAUUUCGCUUUCGCUAGAUAGUUCCAGUCCAAAAUUGAUAAUAAAUUUUUUUUUUCUUUUCUGUAGAACAAAAGUCUAUAAAUUAGGGGUGACAUUGCAUCAUAAAACAGUUUCAUGAAAAUCUAGUUAAUAAUAAUGACGAUGAUGAAAUUAUGGUAUAAUGUAAAAUCCGUACCAAGAACAUCAAUACAUUAUAACAUUAAUAACAAGGUUCGUUCUACACAACAUUGGCCAAUUGAGAUCCUUCAAUAUCCACCUAUCUAUCUAUUCAACACUUGGCGAUAGAAACCAUAAUGGAACCUCUAAAUCCGUAAAUCAUUAUGGUGUCAAAAAAAAAAAAAGAUAGAAAACAAAAAAACUUGGGAAAAAUGUAGGACUAGUAAAUAUAUUCAUUCAUAUAGAAAGAUGAUCACAACUUUUUGGUAGAACUUGAACCAUUUAAUUUGGGAGAUGGUGUUGAAGACUCCUUGAAUGCAGAUGAGCAUAGGUCACUAACACUACAAUUUCCACAUUUGGGUCUAAGGGGAAUGCAAAUAUUCUGACCAAAUCCAACUUGUUCACAUGCCAACAAUGAUUGAAGAAAAUUGAAGAAAAUUGAAGAAAUAAUCAAUAAAUGGAGAUGUAAUAAGAAAUUACAAGGGAGAAUCCACACAAUCGAACAAACUUCAGAUCAUAGGAAGCAAAAGAGCACAAAUCACCAACUCAUUAAUUGUUUAAAAAAGGUAGAGCUGAAGCCCAAAAAUGAAAGAACAUAACAAAAAAAAAAAAAAAACAACAAUUGAACUUUGUCAAUUUGAAGUAUAUUUGAACUUUGUUAAUGUAAACCCUAUUGCACUCCUAGUUCUAUGAUCGAUGAGUUCCUCCUCAAUUUGACUUGUGGGGAGAAGGGUCACAUUUUAUGGUUUGAUGAGAUGUUUGUGUGAUCUUGUGGACUUCUGGGCGUAAGUGAAAAAGUAGGUCUUUUAGAGGGGUGGUUAAACACCUGAGUGAGGAUUUGAUCCCUUGUUUGCUUUCAUGUUAUUUUGUAGCCAUUGGUUUCAAAGGACUUUUGUAACUAUUCUAUAGUAUUUAUUUUGCAUGGUCAAAGUCCUUUUGUGCAAAAAGGAAUGUGCUAUUUUUGUGAACUAGAUUUCUUAUAUGCCUACACAUUCUUUUAUUCUUUCCAACAAAAGUUGUUUAAAAAUAAAAAGACAUGGAAAAGAGCAUAUUUCUCCCAGACCACUAGUUUAGAUGACAUAUGAUUAGAGCACGUACAAGCCUUUUUUUUUUACCAAAGUUAGUAUAUAUAACUCAUAAAAUUAAUAAUAUAUCUGCAAUUUUUUCUUGGAAAUCAUUUUCUUAAUGGUACUUUGGACUAAGGCAACAUAAAUAAUUGCAAAUAGCAAUAAGAAGUUACCUAGAUACUUAAUUUGUAGAUGUUGUAGGUUGUUUAUCCAAGAGGUAAACAUCCUACACCGUGUGUGAAUGUAUAGAUAUAGAAAUGCACAAUUAUGAGUAAGAAUAUUGCUACGCAUGGGUAAAAUAUAUAGUACAAUAUGUUUACAAGAAAAUAGUGUCAUCAAAUUCAUCCAAUCAUGAUACACAGGGCAACAACUAUUUGUAAAAAAACAUUACUUACUAGAAGAGGAUUAAGUGGAACUCAUUCUUCUUUUGGCAGCCACAAUUCUAAUCCUAUUCUAGUUUCUUCAGGAGUUGAUGUUGUCUAGGAAAGGAAAAAAGAAAGCAAAUUAUAACAAUGGCAUGUUUUGGAAGCAAUCACAAUAUGACGAGGAUAAUUACCACAAUGAGUUGAAUCUAUUAGGAUUUCGUUUGAUCAAUUUCAGUACUAAUUUCAUUCUAGCUAGAGAUGACAUCAAUUGCUCAAACAGAAUUUUCAAACUAAUUUGAUGGUUUUUGGUCAAUUUUCAAUUUUUAGAAGAAACAAGAAGAUAACACCCGAAAUUUGAAGGAAGGAACUAGAAAAUUAGGGAUUAAAGAAGUACUAGAAGCAAUUUGAUGAUGUUGCUAGUGCCGAAGAUGCAGUGAGCAAUGAUGAACUUGAGAGGCUUAGAGGGAGGAAAAUAGGGUGUCAACAUGCAUUUUUCUACACAUCUCCGACGUAGAAUCUUGCACGCCACACAUGGACUAACCAUCACGGAGGCUUGAACAAUCGACGAUGAUGACUGAGAAAGGAGAAAGUUGAAGUCGCUGCAUAUUGCUUAGUAGAAGAGGGUGAGGGAGAAGGAGAAAGCCGAAAAUGAGAGAGGAAAAGGAGAAGAAUAGUAGAAGUUUGUUUUUAAGUUUUUUUUUAUUAACUUAAGGGCAAUAUAGACUUUUUGUAGUUAAUUCGUCCGAAAACUCGUUUCUCUAAAAAUCCAUCCCAUAACUCUUCGUACCUUUAAAGAUUAUGGUUAAUUUCCCAUUUUAUUUGUUUUUUCUCUUUUUGCAAUUUACCCUUUUCCUAUCCCAUUAACCCAAAGUUAAGUUAUGCUUACAAUUUUGCCUAUUUCGAUUUUGCCUUCCUCUUCCUCUUGCUCUAAAAUCGUCCACCAUUAGCAGCGCGCGUCCAGGUCUGAAAGGCCGCCAUUGCCUUUGGUUGAGGCUCGACAGAAGCUUGUUGUUUGCUGAUUACCUUUUUCUCAGCGUCGAGAAGAACGCCCAACUCAGCAAGCGUCAUUUAUCGUGUCUCUGGUGCGAAUAGAGUCAGUUGAACGAGCUUUCAUUUGAACCGCCUCUAAUCUCUGUUCCUCUGCUUCUUCCUUUUUCCCUUUUGUUCUUCGCCUUGGGUGAUUAACGUCCCAACUUACCAACACUUGAUAUAUACUUGCUCUACCUAAACUGGGUUUUGAGUUUUGGUCCAGAUUUUGUUGUUCUAGGGUUCAUGGCUUCGUUGUUCAAGGUAAAUUGUUUUUUCGUUUCCUACAUCUCUGCGUGCAGUUAAUAUUUCAUUCACGAGUUAAUUCAUUUUCCGCUCCAUUAGGUUUAUGGGGUUGUCAAAGUUUCAAACACGUCUUUACAAGUUUUAUUCAGACAUGUUUCAGAGUUUAUAUGAACUGAAUUAAGGAUGUGUUUUGUUUCGAUUCAUUUUAAUUGCGAGAUUAAUCUAGUGCCAAAUGUUGUCAUUUUAGUUUGGGCGUCGGGGGAGUAGGCCGUUGGUGUUUCAAAUUAUGUUAGUCAUAUUGCGGUGGCAAUACGUGUUGGAUAAAUUAAACCUAGUCCCCCAUUCCGGUAUAGAUGAUUUUAACUAAUGGUUGUUGUUUCUUAUCCCAAAAGGCAUGGACUUUGUACCUCAUAAUCGUUUUAUAGCUUCUGAUCGAUAUUGUAGUUUUUUCACCAUUCUUUUGAGUUGAGUUGAUGAGAUUGGAAUAUCUGAACUCUUGGUUGGUUGACUAUAUACGCUAAAUCAGUUGCAUUGAAGUUGACAAUUGUCACCUUUAUGGCAAGGGUACUCUGAUUAUUUUUAUUACAGAUAGUAGUGUCUUAAUGUUAAAACGAAGAAAACAGUCAAAGCUCAAAUUAGUUUGAAAGGAAUAAUGUCACACAUAAGUAGCUAGACGAUCAAUAAUUUUUCUAUGAUUCAAUCUAAGACAAGAGUCCUGCUUUCAACUUUAUCUUUUGUAGGACCCAACAAAGCUAUCAAUUUAUCGGGAUAGAAGAUUUCAUGGAUCACAAGAUGAAUUUGAAGUGGCACUUCAGACUUCAACCACUGUUUAUGUGGGAAAUAUGUCCUUCUAUACGACAGAGGAGCAAGUAUAUGAGCUUUUUUCUCGAGCUGGAGAAAUUAAGAAGAUAAUCAUGGGUUUGGAUAAGAAUUCAAAAACGCCUUGUGGCUUUUGUUUUGUCCUGUAAGACUUCCAUAGUUCUUCCUAACUAUAGAAUAUCUUGACAUGCUUUUUAUGAAUAUUCAAGCAUACACUUUUCUACCAUGGUUCUACCAUUGGAUUAAUUAUUAAACUUAUUUAUGUCCACUGCUCUAAACUGUAUGCUGUUGAUAGUAUCAUACUAGAGUCAUGGGAGGGAGAGAGUACUCUCUUCAAAACUACCCAUAUGUGUUACAGACCUUGUAACUUAAUCUUAUGAUGACUUUUCGUUAGAUACUCCGAUUUCUAUCUGUGGUUCGUUAAUGCAGUUACUGCUUUGUUCUGUCCAUAGAUAUCACUUCAUAUAUUCCCAUGAGUUUUUUUAUCCUCACGAGUCAUGAUUGGCACCUGUUUAGUGCAAAUUAUUUUAAAUGCUUGAAUGCAUUUGAUAAUGAAUGAUAUUUUAUCUAUUCGGGUUGAUUUUAACCUUGUGAUAUUUUGCUCAUCUCAUGCCUUUGGUUCCCAUUCUUGAAAGACAUGAUUUACGUAUAUCUGCCUCUAAGCCUUUCAAAUUAUGGGCAAAUCUUUUUAAUGGUUGCUUAUUUUAUCUGUACUUUGUUAGAUACUAUUCUCGGGAGGAUACCGAGGAUGCUGUAAAAUAUAUAAGUGGAACAAUUCUUGAUGAUCGUCCCAUCCGUGUGGAUUUUGAUUGGGGAUUUCAGGAUGGCAGGCAAUGGGGCCGUGGUCGAAGUGGUGGACAGGUACACUUUUGGAUUUGUGUCACAUUCAUGAUUUUGGAGUUGACCAUCACUUCCUGUUUAUUUCCUUUUGCUUUGUUGUUCACAGGUGCGUGAUGAAUAUCGAACAGACUAUGAUCCUGAUAUCCUUUUUUCUUUUCAAGAGUAUUACGUACUAUUAUGUUAUGGAAACCCCAGGGUUUGAUGCUCUAAAAAAUAUAUUUCUUUGGGUACCAUUUACCAACUCAAUAUUCUUUGUCUCUCUUUUCAUACAUACAUACAUACUUACUUUUAUAUAUGCAGAUACUUAUAUACUAUUGAUUUCUAUCACACUUUUUCUUUGGUGUAAUCUAAAGAUUCUAAACACAAGUACAGAAAUCUAGUUUCAUGUAAUAAAUUUCAGGUUAAAAAUCAUUAUUAGUCCCUUAACUUUCAUGAAAGUAACAAUUUGGUCCCUAAACUUUCUGAUAGACCACCAAUUAUAUUACAAUAUAGUAGGAGGAAAAAGGGAGCAGUUGCACGUGAACAAGAGAAGGGAAAUGGAGAAAGAAGUGGAAACCACCUUGGUGGGGACUACGGUUAGUUACAUGGGAGGGAGUUAAAAGGGAAAGAAGGGAAGAGAGGGGUGGUUAGUCAGUUUCUGGAAGUGGAGGGCUGUAAUUUUCUGGGGAGCAGGGAAUGUGUUAGAUACCUAGAUUAGUAUAGGGUAGGGGUAAAAGGGUAAUUAGAUUUGUUGGUAGUUAGUUGGUUAUAAAUAGGAAGUUGAGGAGGGAAGAAGGGUAUGAAGAAUUUGGUGAAGAAUUAGGACUGCAACAUUCCUUGAAAGAGAGGAAGGGCAGAGGGUUAGGGUUCUUUUACUUCUUUUAUAUUGUAAUUUCUGUGAAGAUAUUAAUAAAAUAGAAACACUGUAUCAGUGUUCUAUCAGAAUGCAGAAAGUGUUCAGUUUCUGUAGUCUGUAGCAAGUUAUUUUUAUUAUCGUGAAGUACUUUACUGUUUUGAUGUUUUAUGUUGAACUUGGUUUAUCUUUGUAUUAGUUUUGGUGUUGUACUUUGUUUUCAAGACUGUGUUAGUACUGUUUUCUGUAUAAGUUUGGCUGAUUAUUAAAUUAGUAGAACACACUACUUGGUGUUCUAUCACUUUCAAAAGUAACGAUUUGGCCCCUAUACUUUAAAAAUGGUAACAAUUAGUCCUUUUGUUCAAUUUUAUGUUAACUUGCCGUCAAAUCCCUCCUUUGAAGGCUAAUUUCUCUUCUUGGUAGAACACCACAGUUCAAGGGAAGUGGGAAGGUUACCAUUUUAUAGGGAUUCUUAGGGCUCUAAAAGGAAGUCUUAGAGUGUGAAAUAGAGGAGUCUUUGUAGACAUCAAGAACAAAAAGAAAGAGAUCCUUGCUAGGAAGGAGAGAGGGAUGGUCUAAUGGAGAUUUUGCAUCAGAAAAGAGAGCAUUAGUUGGGGUCAAAAAGCUAAAGUUAGAUGGGUUAAGGUAGGGGACUAUAACACUGGCUUUUUCCAUAGAAUGGCUAGUGGUAGAAGGAACAAGAACUGCAUCGGCCCUUUGAUUUUGGAGUGGGUAGCGCACUAGAGAUGACAUAGAGGUUGAGGAAGAAUUUCUUUUGGCCUUUUCAGGUGAAAACCGUUUGUACAAGGCAUUGAUUGAUGCUCCAUUUCAAGUAGGAAGGAUGAGGAGCUUGUGGUUCCUUUUACCUUGGAGGAAAUCAGGAAGGCAGUCUGUGGGCGUGAUGAGUCCAAACGGUUUUUCCAUGUCUUUUUUUCAAGAUAAUCAGGAUCUUAUUAAGGGUGAUUGGGGGAGGGGGGUUGAAGAGUUUUUUGUGGGGUAUCUUGAACCAAACUAUGGUGGAAACUUUCGUGUGUCUUAUUCCUAAGAAGGAGCAUGCCAAUAGGGUGAGUUUUAUAACAAGUGUCUCUAAGAUUCUGGCCAAGGUUCUUGCUAAUUGCUUAAGGAAAGUGAUGCCCUCAACUAUUUCUGAGAUGAAGAAGUCCUUCCUUGCGGGGAGGCAAACUGUGGAUCAUGCUCUUAUAGCCAAUGAAGCCAUUGAGAACUGUUGAGCGAAUAAGGAGGUGGGUAAGGUUUUUAAACUUGACUCUGAAAAAGCUUAUGAUCUCGCACGUUGAUUGGGAGUUUUAGGAUAAGGCGGUGAUGAAGAAAGGCUUUGGGUAUAAACGGAGGUUGUGGUUGUGGAGUUGGAUUAGGAAUGUUAGGGCCUUUAGGGUUUAGGAAAUUUGGAUUCUAUUUUAUGUUUUUAGAUUCUCUGAGUUCAACAAAUAUUCGUUUGGCAGAUUAAUUUGCAAUUUAUCCAAUUUUUAAAUAUAAGUUAUGUUCAUAAAUAAAUUAAUAAUAGCUGAUUGUCAACUAAAUCAUAGUGGAUAAGUAAGGACUGGUUUUAUGAUUUAUAAAUAUCCAGUAUCAAAUUAGAAUUCAAUUUCAGAAUGUGUCACCAAACACAUAUAUGAAAAACAUAAAAUACAACUCAGCUUACAUAGAAUCUCUUGUUUUCAAAUUUUGGUUUUCAGAUUCUCUACUAAACAUGCCCUGAAUUACUCAAUUCUCAUCAGUGGAGUCUCAAAGGGAUGGAUUCAGGCAUCUACAGGUCUAAAACAUGGAGAUCCUCUGCCUCCCUUUUUGUUCUUACUCGUUGUGGAUGGCUUAAGUCGACUCAUUAUAAAGGGGUGGAAGGAAACAUUUUCAAACCAUUUAGGUUUGGUACAAAUGAGGUUGCCUUGUCACAUCUUCAGUUUGUUGACAAUACGAGGUUCUGGUUUGACAAUGAGGAGUCCUUAAACCUUAAUCACAUGGUGGGUUUUUCUUAGGACAUAUCAGGUUUAAAGAUUAAUGGGAGUAAGUGUCAAAUCUUGGGGAUUAAUUGUGAUCAGGAUAAGCUUAGGAGAUGGGCAAAUGUGAUUGUUGUGGUUGGUUCUUUUCCUUCAUCUUACCUUAGGCUCCUGCUGGGAGGUAAUUCAAGAGCUGUAUCUUUUUGGGACCCUAUUUCUGAAAAGAUUUGUUAAAGAUUAGCUUUGUGGAAGAAAGGUUUUCUCUCCAAAGUUGGGAGGCUAACUUCGAUCAGAUCGGUUUCAAGUGGCAUUCCUGAAUAUUAUCUCUCCUUGUUUUGGGCUCCUAUUUGGUUUGUAAGAGCUUGGAGAAGUUGAUAAGAGAUUCUUUUCGGGAAAGAAUGAUGAAGGAAAGGACUCUCAUCUGACGGUUGGGAGAUAGUUGGUCGGCUCGUUAACUAGGGGGUCGGAGAUUGCCAAUUUAAGCGUUCAUAAUAAAGCUCUGUUUGUGAAGUGGCUAUGGCCUUUUGCCUUGAGCCUGAAUCCUUUUGGCAUCGGAUCAUUGCAAGUAAGUGUGGUAACCAUCCUUUGAUCAGGUAGCAAAAGGAGUUAAAGACACAUAUCGAAAUUUUUGGAAAGAUAUUUUGUUUGGAUUUCCUACUUUUAUCUAGUUCGUAUAUUGUGGUGGAUGGUAAGGAAAUGUUUUUCUGGGAAGAUCAAUGGGUGGGGGAUAGUUUGCUUUACCUUUCUCUAUAUUAUUUAUUUAUCUUACUCUAAAAAUUGGUCGGGUUUUGUACUCCUGGUUUGAUCGGGGAACUCUGUCUUUUUCUUUUGGGUUCUGUUGUCAUUCAUCCAAAUGGGAAACAAAAGAGGUGGCAUAUUUCUUCUUUCUUUAUUGGAUGAGUGCAAUUUUGGGGUUGGUAGGAGGGAUAUUCGUAUUUGGAGCCCUAAGCCUAGUGUAGGAUUCUCUUGUAAAUUUUUCUUUAGGUUGUUGCUGGAUAGAUCCCUCUCUUGCAAGGGAAUUGACUUUUGAUGUGGUUUGGAGGAUUAAGAUAUCUAAGAAAAUUAGGUUCUUCACUUGGCAAGUUUUUCUCGUUCAGGUGAACACUAGACAUGCUUGCUAGGAAGAUGACUUCGCUAAUGAGUCCUUUCUGUUGUUUCUUUUUCAGAAGGGGGAGGAAAACCUAGAUCAUCUCCUUUAGGACCGUUCGGGCGGUGUGGAGCUGGUUUUUGUAGGAGUUUGAUGUCAAGAUUUUUGGCCAAAGGGACUAUCAUGUGAUGAUCAGGAAGUUCCUCAUCCAUUCGCCUUCUAGAGAGAGGUCAUUUCUGUGGUUUGCGGGGUUCUGUGCGAUGUUAAGCGAUAUUUGGGGGAGAAGAACGAUGGAAUGUUUAGAGGUAUGGAUAGGGAUCCUUGUGAGGUGUGGUCCUUAUUGAGGUUUCAUGUGUCGCUUUGGGCUUCAGUAUCAAAGCUUUUUUGUAAUUGUCCCUUAAUAACAUUUUACCUAGUUGGAAUUCCUUCCUUUAGAAUGAGUGUUUUGGUGGACUUGUUUUUCGUAUGCCCUUGUAUUUGUAUUCUUUCAUUUUUUUCUCAAUGAAAAUUGUUGAUUCUAUUAAAAAAAAAUGAUGGGAGAUCUAUUUUAAUCAUGUAAUCCAGCUGUUUUUGGAAUUCUUGGUCUCAAACUGGUCUUCUUGGAUUUCUUGAAUGAAGUUCAUGAACCAUCUAUUCUUCUUUGGAUGAAUCCGAGUCAUCUACCAUAAAACCAGGUAAAUAAACGUCAUGUAAUUUCUUGUGCCAUCUUUCUUGAUCAUGAACUUGAGGUACAUUGGAUCUUUUCUCGAUGAAGCUCUUGGGAUUACUUGGCUAGUGGCUAUGAAUGUUGAGAAUUGUUGAGUGAAAUGUUCAAUGGCCCUAGUGAGAGUGGAAGUGUGUUUUUUGAUGUUGACUUUAACAAGUUCUACAUCAUUUAGUCGGCCCUCAACAUUGGAUGAAGCUUUUGCAACCAUAGUGUUUGAAGGAAAGGGAUCCAAUUUGAAAACAAUUUUUUCAGCCUUGGAUCGGAGGCUCCGAUACCACUUGGCGCUCACAAGUGAAGAACCUCAAAAUUUUAUUAUAUCUUGUUUUAAAAUAAGAGGAAAAGUAGGCUUGGGCUCUAGUGACCUGUUUAGAAGGUUAUUUUUGUGGGAGACCUAAAUAACUGGUUGUUUAAAACAAGAAUUACAAGAUUAUGAGAUGGCUAUCCACACCUCACAUGUUCUAAACUUUUGUUAGAUUUAAUAUUGCUUUGAUAGUGUUAAUUUUUUUACACCUACCCUUUAAAUUUCAAAUUUGUUUUUAGUUUCCUUAAUUAAUUGAACGUAGAGGUGGCUAUGGAAAGUUGGUUCAGAAAGAGUUGGAAGCACAGAGGCAGCUUGUGGAUUAUGGUACUGGUUCACUAGGCUCUAUGGCACCAGUUAUGCCUCAGUGUAAGUUGCUUUGAGGAAUGCUAUGUAUAGAUAUUGUGUAUACACAUUAUUGAUUUGAUGUGCCAUUCAUGUUUUUCUUUUUCUCUUGCAGAUGGAAAACAUGGUGGAAGCCAUGGACAUGGGAAUCGUCAUGGUAGAGGUAUCAAAUUUCUAAAGCAUUUUCGAAUCAUCUAUGUAUGGGAGUUUAUUUGCAUUCUUGCAGUUUCCUGAUAUUAAUCGGAAUACAAUACUGUUGUUUGAAAAACUAGAUUACCAUCAUCGUAAGCGCUACCGAGAUGACGAUCGCCAUGCCCAUGAAAGCUCUAAGAGAACUUCAGAUUACGAGUCUAGAAGAAACUCCAAUUAUGAAUCGAGACCGGUAAUUUCAAAAUGAUUCUUUCCUUGGGACAUGUUUGAGAGUAAUUGUAGAAAUAUGACUUUUAGUGAAGAGAUUUGUUGAAAUUAGUUUUUGUAGGGCCAUUUUAACAUUUGAUUCUACACUUUUCAAUGGAGAUACAACCAAGAGUGAUUUUGAAUGAAUUAAUAUUUGAAAUAGAAGUAUGUAGUGCAUGUUUCAGAGUAAUUUUGAAAUUGUUAAAAUAACUUUUUGUUAUUUUCUUAAUCACCUCGAAAUAUGCUUUUAAUCACCUAAAAUUAAUUUAAUUGAAAAUUUUUAACUUUUAAAUUUAAUUGUCACAUCAAAAUUGGUUUAGAGGUAUUUUGAAAAUGGCCAGUGGUUUUAACCAUUUCAGAAUCACACUUGAACAGGCCCUUAGUCAUUCCAAAAUCGUAUCAAACAUGUGCUUAGUCAUCUGUGUGUUGAAAUUUUCACGAGAGGUACUGGAUGCUUUCAUGCCGUACCUAGUUGCACAUUAAUCUGGAUGUAAUUAACGAUGACUGUGGUAGUUUGUUUGGUCUGUGGGCUUUCGUUGUCCUUAUAAAGUAUUCUCUCUUAAAAGAAAGUUAUAAAAACUUGUCACCAGCUAUUAGAACCAUUAUCCUGUAUACUGCUUUUUUUUUGUGUGUGGUUUUGGAUGUAUAUAUUGCCAUGCUUCAGUAUUUUACAAAUUGGACUGUUACAGGAGAAGAAUCCAAGAUUCCGUGAGAGUGGUGAUUCUGAUGAAGAGGAUGACGACGACCGUAAGCAGCGACACUAACCUUAGUGGUGUUUUCAUAUCAAUCAUAAUGUGAGGAAUCAUUUACAUUGGUGUUUGUAGUUCUGGAGAUAGUGAUAAAGGACAAUUUCGUUACUUGUAGAUGUAAAAACUAACGAGUUAUUUUUUUUUUCAUGCCACUAGGUACUUUGUGCUUUCCUUAAUGAAGGAAUGACUAUAAAUGGCUGUUUACCGUUUAUUUUUAUAAGAAUCAAGUAGGCGUUUUGUCGGAACUAUGAUGAGAAAAAUGAAGAAUUCAAUUCUCUUCUAAGUACUUUUAAGGAAGUGUGUAGCAUUCGGUUGCUUGACAAGGAUGCUGGUUGGAAGGAAUGGUGUUGGUAUGUAAGAAGGUGAAAUUUAUGGAGUGAUUUCCUGUGGUUAUCACCAAUUGGAGGAUGGUCUGGGAAGUCUUUAUUGAAUGAAAUCAUGUGCAUGGUACAAUAAUAUUGAUCCAUCAACCCUCGCAAGAUUUGGAAAUGCUUUCAAAUUUGAUUGAAUUUUGAACUGUGGGAUUGAAAAAGGUAAAGAACAACUUGAAGGCAACAGAUAAAAGGUCCAACAAACACCGCAUUUUUAUAGCAGAGGAGACCCACGAAGGUAAAACACAAUCUGCAUUCAGUUUUUCUCCUUCAGAAGCAGAAGGAUAACAACCCGCAAAUUCAAAUAAAAGAUCAAUUAAUUUGAUGUAGUAGAAAAAUGACGUUGAAUUGUCAACCCUAUAUUUCGAGAUUGUUAUGUGGUGAAAUAAGUUUGAGGGUUUGGAAAAUGGUUAGUUAAACUUUGUAGCUGUAGAUGAAGGGUGUCCAGUCAACUGUUGGCAGACCAUCUCCCCUUCUACAGGACAAAGUUACCUGGUGGACUGGUGACUGGUCAGAGAGAGGAAUUCAAAGGAAAAAAAAGAAGUUAAAUUACACAAAACUAACUCUUCCGCGUAAAGUCACUGUCUACGAGGGUUCCUCACAUGGCUUUACUCCUUGAACUUGGUAGUUGGGUAUCUAGAAUUAACAUAACUUUUUACAAAGUUUAAAUUUUAGUUAGUCAAUGUCUCGAUCAUAAGCUUUAUACAUAAUAAAUCACGAUAUCUCUACCGUCUGUCUAAUAUGUAAUGCCAUAUAUAUAUAUAUAAUUAUUGGUAACAAAAUUGAAACUUUAAGGUUCAGUUAGAAACAAUUUUUUUUUUUAAUACCAUGGCUAAUUUUUUCUAGUGUUUAUAUUUUGUGAGAUUUUUUGGUGGUAAAUGAGAGUUUAUAUAUCUAGGAGAUAUUUGUAACGACUCAAUUGUGGAGGUUUUCAAUUUAAUUUUAGUCAUUUAAAUUUAGAAGUUAGGUUUACCUCGCUUGGCUGCCUACCAACAUACUUUUCCUUGUACUUAGAGGUUCUCGACCAUACUUUGCACUUAACCAUGCCCGUCUUGUCCUUGAGGUUUUCUCAACGUCUUUGGCCGCCCAACAAACUUUUAAACACCUAGCCUUCCAUGCCAAAACUAUGUUUACCAUUUCAAUAAUUUUCCUUUCACUUUACUUAUUUCUUCUAAGUUCUGGUGUGACUAAAGGUCUUUAAAGAUUAGAGUUUAACACAGGUUGCUAUAUGUAUUGCCAAUACUAGUGUUUAUAUGUCUUAGACAUUGAAUUGUGAAACAAUUGUUAAAAGGAGAAACUUUUCCUUAGGAUUUGUUUGAUCUGAGAAGAACUUGUCUCAUCCUUUAACCAAAGGAUUAACUAGAAAAAUGGUUCUAGACUCCUUAGUGAAUAUGGACUUGAAGCCCUGUUGUGAUCCAUAACACUUGAUUUGGAUGGUCUAUUACGAUAGACUUAAUUUGUCCAUAGCCUCUUUUGAAUGGUCUAUUGUGAUAGACUUGAUAGUUCAUAACCCAUAGUGUGGAUAGUCCUUAAAUGGACUUGAUGGAUGAUACUAAAACCUUAUGAAUGUUCCAUAAUUUUGAUGGAUGACGAUGAAGAUUUCAUAGCUCUUUUUGAAUGGUUUGUUUUAACAAACUUGAUGAAGGAUAUAGCAUGAUAGUGAAGGUGUGACGGUCUUCUAUUUAAGAGUUUAAAGGUCUCCUUCUAUAGCUUUCACGAUGAUCCAAGGUUCAAACCCUAUCACUUUGUCACUUUCUUGUUGUAAUUGCUUAUGAGAUAGUGGUUCGUCACGACACAAAGAUUUCUCUUAGAUGUCCUAUGAAGACACUCUUCACAUCAAAUAGUUUUUCUCCAUAUAUAUAUAAUUUGUGUGUGUGUUAUACUUGAUUUUAAUCUUCCAAAAUUAUAUUGUUUAUUGUUUGCCCUUAUUGGUUGAUUGCUUGAGGAUUAAUUUGUGUCACUCCGGGAUACUAUCAUUUGAUUGAUUGUGUUGGAGGUGAUCAUAUAGUGUGUUGCCUUACUGAUAUAUUAUUAUCUGGAUUCUACUAGUUAGAAUCAGAGCAAGAAAGAAUAGUGUUGAAUGGUAUAAAGAGAAAUGAGAUCAUAUAUAGAACAUAUAUACUAUAAUUGUUAUUAUCCCCAAUGUGUGGGCAAGCCACCUUACACUUACGUAAAGGAAAAAAAGGGACAUAAAUAAAGCAAAGGCAAACAAAACAGAAAGUCGAGAGUGUAAUAAAGGAAAUUGGGAGUAAUUAAGUGAAAGUGUGAUAAUUGAAAUCAUUUAUUUGUGGUCUUGGGAAAAAUAGUGAUUAAUUGUUGGCAUGAUUUCCGGUGGCCGUGUUCGGAGGAACCGCCGGAGGCUAUGCUCUGAAUACUUCUCUCCUUCCUCUUCGUUAUCCAAUACUCCCAUUCUACGAUGCGAUUUCUUCACUCUGCAAUACACAAAAUUACAUUUCUUUUUUAUAUUACAACAAAUUUAUUGUUCUUUAUACAAAAUACCCAUAGUUUACUUUAUGAAUUCCCACCCAUUCCAUUUUUUGUUUUCUAACAUUAAAUUUAUUUUCUAUUCAAACACAAUGUUGAAGUUUUAGUUCAAUUUCAAAAACAAAAACAACUUCUCAUUUCAAGUUUUUGUUUUUGUUUCUUGUGUUUCUUAAAUUCUAUUUCUAAACUUUUGUUUAUUAAAAACAAAAAUCAUAUAUGUUUAGUAAAACGAUGUUUUUUUCUUUUAAAAAAACAAAAUGUAUUUUUUUUUUCAUUUUCAAUAUUCUUUCAUAAUCUUAAAAACAAGUUUCUUGUCUAGAAAACAAAAAUAUGAAUAAGUUACCAAACAAAACGUAAUUUUUAAAAAUCAAUUUUAAAAACCAAAAAACAGAAAACAAAUGGAUUAUCAAGCAAACUCUAUAUUGUUAUUGUGAUACCUUUAUAAAUAUGGUAAAUAUUUUAGAAUUUUCUCAAACAUAUAUAAUAUAUAUAUAGAAAACGAACUAUUUAAGCUUUAUAAAAAUAUAUAAAAUGUAAUUUUGAUCUCUUUGACAAUUUUGUAAAUAAAAAACAAUCCUAAUAAUGAUUAGAAGUAAAAUAAUAGAAUAAAAAUAGAGAGUACCUAACGUCGGGAUUGAUGAGAAUGUUUCUAGUAAGCUGAAAGAUGCACAUAGUUGUGACAAAUCCCAUGGCAGCCAACAAUGGAUAAACCUUCAAGUUACCAAAUCACCUAAUAAAACUCAUUUGUUUAUCAACUAAAAUCAAUUCUAUAUCUAUCUAUAAACUUUGAUGUAUACAUCUCUUUUUACUCCCUAUGGUAUGAGAAAUAGAGAAAGAAAGAGUUAUGGGGGCUGACCUCUGGUUUCAUCCAACGUCCCAUUGGAAGAGAAUAGUUUGAUAAAGUUUAUAAGGUUUGUGAUUCAAUGGUUUAAUUUUGUUGAUCAAAUGGAUUGAAUUGUUGUGUAUAUUUAUAAAGCAAAAGCAAAAGGAUUGUUUGAUAGUUUUUGUGUUCUUUAAAUUCAUUCAGUGGGCUGUUUAUUUGUUUCUUUGACUUUGACUUUUGACUUCAUCUAAAUCAUCUAAAUUUCAAUUUCAUAAAAAUAUUUACAAAACCAUUGGCUUAGGCCUCUUGUUUUUAUUUUUCUUUUUUUGAACAUAUCGUCAUUGAAGACUUCACUUUUCCAUUUUCUUAACUUGGUGCAAAUUUAAAUUUUAUACUAUCUAUGUAUACACAAGGGUUUAGUAUUUGGAUAGAAAUUAAGACUUUUACUUCUUUUAUUUAUUUAUGGAAAUAAACCAUAUUUAUACAACAUUUCAAUUCUCUUACCAUAUACAAUUUUGAAUACUUGCUUGUCAUGGGAUUCUAAUAUCAACAUAUCAAUUGUCGUAGGCCAUGCAUGUAUUGUGGGCUUCAAUUAAGCUAAUACCCAAAUGUAAUCUCUUUGAAGCUUAUAUGACGACAUUUGCUUUUGGGUUGAGAUUAUAUUUUCCAUACAAGAUGGCUUUAAAAAUUGCUUAUUUAGUUCUUGUCAAGAACGACUAUAUUUUCACAUGUCAAGAAAAAUUGUUCUCGACAUUUUUUCUUUAUUUAUCAAGAACGUCAAUAUUUUUCACAUUUCAAACAUGUCAAAUGUUAAUAUCUUGAUGUUUUUAAAAACAUCAAGAGGAGUAGUGACACUCAACUUUGAAAAACGUAAAAGAAAAUAUUGUUUUUCUAACCGUGAAGUGAAACUUAAGACUCUAAAAUAAUAUAUAAUGACAUGUACUCACAUUCUUUAACGUUAGUUGUUGUAUAGAUAAGGGAGAUGGAUACACAUUUUUUAAAAUAUAUACAUAUGAAUAGGUCAGUAUUAAUAAACAUAAUUAGGACAAGAAGAUUUUGUAGAAAACAAUGAGCUAGGUAGGGAGGAAAGGACAAAAUAUUAUAAUUUACAUCAACUUACUACAUAUAAUAUAUUCUAAAUGAUCAUUAUUAUUUACAUCUCAAGAACAAAGAUAAGGAACAAAAACUUGAUUGUCACAUGUUUAAGAAUAAUGAGAGCAAGGCACAUUUAUAUGAAUUAAGAUUUGGCCAUUCCUAGUAAUAAUAAAUAGUUUAAAUAUAGUACUACAAAUAUAUAUAUGAAUUAGUGAUGAGAGUUGUUGAGUAUAAUUGUUGUGGUCCUUUAAAUGUUACAAUCAAGUGAUGAUAUUUUGUAAGCCUUUUAAAAUUUUGUUAACAAAAGCUCAUGCAUGAUCAAUAAUCAUAGUUGUGCCGUGUCAAAAUGACACUACCCUGAAAGCAAAAUUUGGUGCGACCUCGGUGCUAAAUCGUUUAUGUCGAUUCCUCUCCAAUGUUAACACAACUUUUCCAACUCAUGCGUGCACUCACUUGAGUUGAGAAUGGAAUCAAAAGGAAAUGAUUGCUCAGAAAAUCUGAGGAAAGAACUAGGAUUUUCCAAGAAGAAUAAUUGAACCCCAUAAAAAAUUAUUUACGUAAUAUAUAUAUAUAUAUAAAGAAUAAUUAUAGUUAUAAAAUAAAAUAAAUAAUAAUAAUUAUCAUUUUCCAAUUGAAAUAUCAAUUAGAAAACAGUACAAUGAUGGUCAUUCCUAACAAUCCCCACAAAUGACUAUCAUUGCAUUCUAGUUAAAAUAGUAAGAAAAAAUUUUCUUUGGGCUAAGAAAGAAGUAGUAUAAACUUAAACAUCAACAUCUUUCGAUUUGAAUUGAUGCGUAGUGAGGUGGGGCAACAAUUCAAAUCAUCGAAAGUAAGUUAAUUGCCUUUUUGAACUUUCAAUAACAACGGUUGAGACCCUCACAACACGUUUUACUUCUUAAAUUUCCAUUGAUUUCGCAAUAAAGUCUAUCAUAAUAGACCACUCAAAAUUGUGCUAUUUAAGACCAUGCACAUAGAACCUCGGGUCAAUGUGAAAGCUCUAGAAAAUGAUCCUUAAACUUUUUCAUAGAAGACAACCACACCUUCACAAUCACAUUUAUUGUUUCAUUAAGUCUAUCACAAUAAACCACUCAAAACCGAGUUAUGAAGGCUUCAAGUUUAGUCCAUAUCAAGAGCAACUUCAUCAAGUCUGUCAAAGACAUACCACUCAAAACUGAGCUAUGAUGAUUUUCCAAUUAUCCAUCAAGUCCAUACUAGGACCACCCAAAUAAGGGCUAUGAAAUUUUCAAAGGUUUUAAUUUCAUCCAUCAAAUCCAUUUAAGGAUUGCCCACACGUGGCUAUGGACCAUCAAGCCUACUGCAGUAGACCAUCCAAAAAGGACUAUGGACCAUCAAGCUUACCACAGUAGACCAUCCAAAUAAGAGGCUACAAACCAUCAAGUCUAUCACAAUAGACCACCCAAAUAACGAGCUAUGGACCAUCAAAUGUUUGAAUCUCAUACUUGUUGAAAAUCCUAGAAUUACUCUCCUUGUCAGGCCUUUGGAGAGAUGAUUUACAAAGUUCCUAAAACUUUACAUACUUCGAGAAGAUAAUACUUUCAUUCAACUAUCAUUUCACAACUUCAUAUUAUGGAAAAUAUACAUUUUAUUGCCAUAACAUACUAUUCUUGACAAUCUCUACAACAGGGUUUGAAUCUCAAUAAAAUUAUACUGGUAUAGAGUUCCCCACAAUGGGACAUCUCUCAUUAGACUUUUAUAUCAUUCAUACUCAUGUCCCCAUACACUGGUACAUUUUUCAUUAAUAACACGUAUCCACUAGUAAGGCUUACUUCGUCAUUCUAAGUUACCUGGUUUGCAUACAUUACCUCUCUAGGUAUGGUAGACAAUAAUUAAAAUGCAAACCAAAAUCUAUAACCUUAAGAUAUCUUAAUAAAUGAUGUAGAGUAGUAAAAUAAUGUUAAUCAGGAUUAUGUGUGUACAUGUACUCAAUCUUCUUACAACAUAUGCAAUAACACAUCUUAUACAGUUUAUCAAAACAUAGUAUUUUCUAUAAUCCUUGUAUAUUCAGAUUGAGAAACACUAUCUCAUUUAUUUUCCUUAAGACUCAUACUAGCAUCAUAAGAUGUUCUUACUAGAACAUCAUUAAAAUAUAAAAUCUCUUUAAUAGCAUUCAGUGUGUGAUUGACAAAUCAACACAUUCUCAAUAAUACUCUGUGCAUCACAUUUAGUCUCACAUAAAUCUUUCACUUCAAAAUGUGAUAACUUUAUAGCAUUACUAACAUUUAUGUUUGUAUCACAUAAAUUACACCAAUAUACAAACAUAAAGUCACACAAUCAACUCCAAGCAACUUUUAGUAAACAUAUAUAUCAACAAUUCACUUCACAAGAUAUUGUUUACUAAAUUGUUGUCAAAGUUUUCUCAUUAAACUUUUAGAAACUAGUUAAAGACCAUAAAGAAAUUUGACUCUCCCAAGUUACCAUUGAGGAAUAUCAUCUUUACAUACACUUGAUUUAUUAGAAGACCACAUACAGCUACAAAAGCUUUUAAGGUGCUCUACAGUGGCUAAUUUCGUCAUAUGAGAACAAGAAUCAAAACAUUCUAAAUUCCACGAUUGAUUCAAAAUAUUUUUCAUAAGUCUAAAGUUGCACCUUUGUACUUAUGAUCAGUUUCCUUUUCUAAUGUGGGACUUCUAUCGCAUUCCCAACGAUCCUCUCCUCAAACAAAGUUGUAACUGAACCUCUCCUAAAAUAGACACUCAUCCAUUUAACUCUUAUCUAGCUAGGUUAAACUCCUCCUCUCUAGAACAUAUUGCUUAUUCAAUAGAGCUCAACCAUGGAUAACAACAUUACUACUUUUAAGGUUCCACUACACCUUUGUUUGACCUGAUGAUUAUAUCAACAAGGGCUAAACCAAGGAUGAUGUGACUAUGAUACCUCUUUUAGGGAUAACUUAGAGUAUAAGUCCUCGUGCCUUUUAAGAUAUCACAUAUUUGAUAGCUUAGACAUUAUUUUAAGCUAAUUCCAUAAAAUCUUAUGAGCUUCAUAAACAAUGAAUUUGCAUAUUUUCAUACUACUAGCCAACUUUAGUAACAUGCAAAUGAUGUACUACCAAACUUAACAAUUUAUGACGCAAGUCAUUAACAAACUUUGUCAAAUAUAACAUACAUGAUAAAUAUUUCUACUCAUACUAACAUGCUAAUAGACAUGUUCAAGUAGAUCACAAUAGUGUUUCAAUAUUCACAAAUUGAUUUAUCAUUUAAAUAUAUAAAUAUGUAUACAACACUAUUAUGAGCAUAAUCAAUAAACAUAGUUGAACGUUUUCAAUCAUACCAUAGAUUUCUUGAACACAAGAUAUGAUACCUUAGUUUGACACCCCCACACUUUCAAAUAUUUAGGUGCAUAACAUAUCCAAAGUUCAAUAGUGCCAUUUUGUUACUAACUCAAAUUUAUCACAAUGGCAUUUCGAUUAUGGUAUUAAUAGCAAUACAGUAACUAUUAACCAAUAUGCUUGUCACUGAAAUAUUCAAUAUACACUUAUCAAACGUAUAUUGCAUAUCAUGCUCAAAUAUAGACAUGAAAUAAAAUUAAUUAGAUUGAGAUUUCAAACUAAUCAGGAACAUCAUUAUCCAAUUUUACAAUAACUUGACUCUCUCUAUCACGUGUACAUUUGACAAUCAAAGUACAAAAUCUCAAAUCAAGGUUCUACGUCAAUAUGUUGAGUUACAUCAAAUAGUACUUGAAGCAAGAUUUAUGUUCCAAAAAAAAAUCUUAUUUUUCUCACAUCUUCAGUUCCAGUAUCUCCAUAUAUCCAUAUAUGGCAAGAAGAUACCACAACAUUUAGAAACAAAUCAAUUAAAUUUUCACUCACAAGAAACUCUUUCAACCAAUGAUAAAUUAUUGGUUAUAAUUUAUUAUCAAGAGCAAAGCAUGCUAAUAACCCAACUAUAAUUAUAGUUUCUAGGAAGAAGUUAUAUAUACCUUUCCUUUUAGUUCCAUCAACAUCUCAAAUAUGAAUACUCCCAUACCCACAAGUCUCAAACAAGAAGUUGUUAAAAACCAUGUUAAAGACUAUUAAAAACUAAAUGAAUAACACUAAUAUGAGAAAAGGUUGAAGUUAUUAUCGAUCCUCCAACGACGGUCUUUAUGGCAGUUUCACAAUCAACCCUACUUGUAAUAUCUUAUGCUUUUCUUAUGAAUGGUAAAACCACAUAGCACAGCACAUUCCUAUAAUCCUACUUGUGGCUGGUUUUCCAAAAAUCUCAUAAAAUAAAGGUCUCCACAUCUGAAAAUCAUCCUUCAAAACUUCCUCUUUUACACCAUGUCAAAAUCAAUACUACUCAUGUAUAGACUAUAAAUCAAUACUACUCAUAUAUAGACUAUAAAUUAUUCAAUCAUGAAAAAAAAAAUUGAAUAAGAGUUUGGUACUGGUCAUCAACUAACUUCUUAGUGUGCAUUCAAGUCAAAUAAAUUCCCCCAAUUUCAUAAGGAUUCAUCCAUCUAGAGAUUUGUAAUGCAUAAUAUUUUUCAAUUAUAUAAUAUGCGACCAUAUGUACCUUUUAAUUUUCUAUUCAAUGCUAAUUUAUUCAUUAACCUUAUUUCUAAAAUUAGAAAAUAUUAAUGAAUAAUAUUUUGUUUUUGAAAAUUAAACCUACAAAGACUACCUUCACUUCUAAAUUUCUUUCCUUAUGUUAUCUAUAUAGGCUAAUCUAAAUUUUUUUUAUAUCAUUGGAAGUAUUAAUGUUAUCACAUAUAGGCUAAUCUAAAUUUCUUUCCUUAUGUUAGUAUUGAAGCAAUCGAUGAGAAGUCUGACCAAAUGCACAUAAGUUGGGUACCUAUGUCUUUGGCCUUUCAUUGCAUCCACAGCCCUUCUCUCUCUCUCACUUUUCUUUUCCCAAACUGUUUGCUUCUUUCAAACUCAUUCUAAUUGGUUAGAAGAAUAUUCAAGAAAGUUGGCUUUGGCUUGCCUUCCAUGUUAGGUCUAAGUUCACAUGACAAAAAUGGCCUCAAUCACCAUGCCACGUAUUUUCUUAAACCCAUUUAAACUAAUUAUAUUUCACAUUAUAUUCCAUUUCUUUUUCUCUCUGUCUUUAUUUUAAUCUUUGUUAUUUUCUCUCUCUUUUUUUUCAAAACACAGCAAUUGAAAUGAAAUCCUCGACUAAAGGCAAGAGGCUCGAAUUCUCUUGUUGAUUGGAAAAUUAGUAGCAAUAAAAGAAAUUAGGGUGAAAACCAUACAUUUUAAAAUAAACUAAUUAUAGGUAUGAGUUUGAAAUUAUUUAGAAAAAAAAAAAAUCAAUCAUUGAACAACCUUUAUUGAAUAAUAAUUGGUUAUGAUUAACCAUAUCAUUGGAAGUAUUAAUGUUAUCACAUAUAGGCUAAUCUAAAUUUUUUUUAUCCUGAUGAAUGUGUUUAGAGAUGUGAGUUAACUUAUGCUAGAUUUGCCUGUCAUUAUCUCUUUAUCUUACCCAAAAGGAAAAUGAUUUUGAUUUUUUUCAAUAUUCUAAAAUUUUGAACCUUCAAUCAAUCUCAGUAGAAGAAAUAUAUCACAAUUGCUGCUAAAAAUAAAUUGGAUAGUGUAUCAGGAAUUAAUUUGAAGCAAGGAGAUGAUUUUUGUUGAAAAUUAAUUAUAGCUGUUUUAUGUAGGUUAUUCAUUAUUGAUGAAUUAAUGAGAGAGUUGAGAAAGCUAACAUGAAUAAAUUAAGCAUAUUAAAUUGAUGAGAGCUAGUAAAGUGUUGUAUUUGAGAGUAUUAAAUGUGUUUUCAUGGGAUGAUAAUAGGAUGGAUAUGUUGUAUUGAAAAGCAACAAAAUAAAUGAUGGUUCUGUGUUAUUUGGAUCUGGGGGUUGUACAUCAGAAGCAAGUUAAAAGAAAAAAGAAUGUUUGUUAAGUUAAUAUUAGUGAUUGUGUAUUGAGAAUUAGGUAAUAAAGUUGAGAUGGAAGUGGAAGCAUGGUAGGUGCAAUUUCCUUAUACAAAAAUGCCACAACAAGGGUAUUUGAGUAACUUCCACGUCUAACCCAUUCUCAAUUCCAUUACAUGUCAUCUUCAACCUUUCUACCGUUGAGAUGUUAACUUCUCCAUCUUCACAUCUCCCGCCAUUUUUCUCAAAUAGCCAUUGCUUCACGUUAUGGGAACUCAACAGAACAAUUCAAACUGACAAAAACAAAAACCAUAACCUUUACUAUAUAUAGUUCUCAACAACAGAAUCCUUUUGGUGUUCCAUCUCUACAACCACACCUAUUCAUGCUCCUCCUCCUUCAUCCUCUUCUUGUUCCUCAACUGCACAAGACAACUUGUUUGCUCCACUUUGGAUUUGACUGAGUUGACACUCAUGAGGGUGUUCAUUUCAGCUGUCUUCCUUUUUGUCUUUUUUUCUCUUGGAGGUGAGUUUUCUUUUGCAACUGAUGUUCAAAUGUCACUUUGAACUUCUUGUAUCUAUGUGUUUUGAACAUCAAUCUUCUUCUUCUUUUUUGGAUUGUAGCUGCCUAUGAUCCGUUGGAUCCAAAUGGGAACAUUACGAUCAAAUGGGAUAUCAUGUCUUGGACACCCGAUGGCUAUGUGGUAAGAAUUUCUCUUCUGUUAUCAGUUUAGAUCCAGUGAAUAAUGAGUUAGUGAUUCCACAUCCUCUCGACUUUUUGUGGUUAUAUAGGCAGUAGUCACAUUGAACAACUUCCAAAUGUACCGCCAUAUAAUGAGCCCCGGGUGGACGAUGGGGUGGACUUGGGCGAAAAAGGAAGUGAUAUGGUCGAUGGUGGGGUCGCAGACAACGGAGCAAGGUGACUGCUCCAAGUUCAAAGGAAACAUUCCUCACUCCUGCAAGAAAAACCCCACUGUUGUAGAUUUGAUGCCUGGUGUUCCUUACAACCAACAGUUUACAAACUGCUGCAAAGGUGGGGUUGUGGCAGCUUGGGGACAAGACCCUCAAGCUGCUGUUUCAGCCUUUCAGCUUAGUAUUGGCCAAGCAGGUACUUCAAACAAGACUGUCAAGCUUCCCAAGAACUUCACUUUGCUCGGUCCUGGCCCCGGAUACACUUGUGGCCCUGCAAAAGUUGUGCCUUCCACCACUUUCCUCACACCCGACCGUCGCCGCAAAACUCAAGCUUUGAGUAAGAUCAUGUUCAUUGUAGUCCGCUAUCUCCAUUUCAUCCGUAAGUUUUAAGGUUGCAAUGUCGUCAUCUUUCCUUUUCCUUUUUCUUGCAGUGACUUGGAAUGUGACUUGCACUUACUCUCAGUUUCUAGCAAGAAAGAAUCCUAAUUGUUGUGUUUCUUUCUCAUCUUUCUACAACGAUACAAUUACAUCUUGUCCGUCUUGUGCCUGUGGUUGCCAAAACAAGAGCAAUUGUGUACAGUAAGGCUACCUGUUUUAUUCUCAUUUUUUUAGUAUUGCUGCUAUAACAAAUGACAGCUGACUUGUGGUAUGGUUUUAUAAUGACUAAAGGAAUGAUUCUAAGAUUCUUAAGCUGGUUGGAAUCAAUACACCAAGGAAAGACAAUGCCCCUUUGCUGCAUUGCACACAUCACAUGUGCCCUGUUCGAGUUCACUGGCACGUAAAGCAAAAUUACAAGGAAUAUUGGCGGGUGAAGAUUGCUAUCACAAACUUCAACUACCGAAUGAACUAUUCACUUUGGUCUCUCGUUGUCCAGCACCCAAAUCUGAACAAUGUAACACAAGUUUUCAGCUUUGACUAUAAACCCCUUGUUCCCUAUGAAUCGAUCAGUAAGUAAAACAACAAACUCAGUCACUGUUUUCUUCUCAUUUCCUUGUCAUAUUCAGCAAAAGAGUAAUUUCAUGGUUUUUCCGUUGUAUACACAGAUGAUACAGGAAUGUUUUAUGGGAUGAAGUUCUAUAACGACCUUCUUAUGGAAGCGGGGCCAUUUGGUAACGUACAAUCAGAAGUGUUGCUGCGAAAAGACCAGAAUACGUUCACUUUCAAGCAGGGAUGGGCAUUUCCUCGAAAAGUUUACUUCAAUGGCGACGAGUGCAUGCUUCCGCCACCCGACACAUACCCUUUCCUGCCAAACGCUGCCCAACAAAGGCCAGUUGGCCUCUCAUCUUCAAUUACUUUGCUGCUGCUCUUGAUGCUGCUAGCUAUGUGCUGAGACCCAUUCUAGAAUUGUUAAGAGAGAUUGUAAUGUAAUUUUUAAGUGGCGAAGUCCAUAUUUUUGACAUAUAUAAACAAAAUCACAGGUAUACAACUCGAGUUCAAAAUGGAGAAUGUCAUAUGGAUGAAGAAUUUACACAAAACUACAGUAUCAACCUUUUUUUUUUUUGGUUAUCUACUUUUCCAUUCACAAAAAUUCCACUACCAUCGACAUGAUCAUCCAUGAAAGAAGAUAAAUACUAGGAAUGAAAAAAAUAGCAGACCAUUUAGUAACAACAAUUGCUUUGUAAGAAUGUUCCAAUCUCCCACAGCCAAACAGAUCUCAACACGGACAUGGAAAUAUUAGAAAGUUUAUCUAAUAUAGUACAACAUUUACAAAGUGAAUUCAAUCGCCAAAAAAUUCACCUGAAGCUACAAUUGAAGUUAAAAGUCAUCAUCCACAUCCAUGAGAUUCAUCAUUUCUUUUAAUAGUAUGGGCCAGAUUGAUCUGCUUCAAAACUUCAGAAUGACUCCAGUGUUCCAGGAAGUUAUGCAAACGAAUGGUGAAAGGACAAGAGAGUCAAGGAAAUCAGCAAAAGCAUAGUAAACACUGAGACACCUUGCUUAGAACCCUUGUUCGGUAAGAAGGGGUAGGCUUCUGGAGGUGGCAUAACACAAUUGUCCCCAUUAAAAUAGAUCCUCCGAGGGAAAGCCCAACCUUUAUCAAAUGUGAAAUCCGAUUGGUCCUUCCGGAAAAGAAGCUCUGUCUGUACAUUCCCAAGAGGACCUGCUUGCAUGAGCAAAUCGUUGUAGAACUUGACUCCCCACAGGAUUGCAGUAUCAUCUGUUUUAGAAAUACACAUGCUCGAUUAUAAAUGUAAAAGAACAGAAACAGGGGAAAGAAGAUUGAUAAUAAGAGGUAAAAAGAGAGUCAAUCCUACUUAUUGUUCCAUAUGGAUUGAUUGACUGGUAGUUGAAGCUGAAAAUCUGUGUCAGAUUGUCGAAGUUGGGAUGUUGGACAACUAAGUUCCAAUUUGUAUAGUUCAUCACGUAAUUGAAGUUUGUAAUUGUGAUCUUCACACGCCAAUACUCCUUAUAGUUAAUCUUCACGUGCCAGUGAACUCGAAUCGGGCACAUGUGGCCAGUACACUGAACCAAAGGUGUCAAAUUGUUCUUGCUAGAACUAGCACUGUUAACAACAGAAGCUAAAUAUGGAGAAUUUGGCCUGCAAAUAAGCAUGUUGGCAUUAGUCCGAGUCAUGCUAGUUUAUAGUUUUAUACGAGGCAGUGAUCUUACUCCACACAAUUUUGGGGUGCGUUCAAGUUGCUUUGGCAGCCACAGGAGCAUUUCGGGCAAGAAACAAUUGUGUCGUUGUAAAAUGAUGACAGCGAAACACAGCAAGUAGGAGUCUUUUGGGCCAGAAAUUGUGAAUAUGUGCAUGUAACAUUCCAUGUCACUGCAAAUAAGGAUUUUGGAGCAAAAUAUCAGUGAGCUAGUACAAGGAUUUGUUGAAAAGAAAGAUAUUGAAUAUGAAAGCAACUUGAACUCGAAGCUACCCAAAACCUUAGAAACAGGAAAAUAGUACUAGUAUAUAACUCUCAGAUCCUACUUACUCAAGGCCUGUGUAACUCUCCGCUUGUCUGGGGAUUUGAAUUUGCUCGGUUUAACAAUUUUGGCUGGUCCACAGGUAUAACCAGGUCCAGGUGCUUUUAAAGUGAAGUUCUUUGGCAGUCGAACGGUUUUAUUUGAGGUUCCGGCUGAACCAACGGUGAGCUGAAAUGAGCUUACUGCAGUAGCUGGAUCUUGCACCCAGGAGUUAAGAACUCCGCCUUUACAGCAAUUUGCAAUCUGUUGGUUAUAAGGUGUUCCGGGCAAUAGAUCAACAACCGUUGGAUCCUUCUUGCAGCAAUGGGGGAUGUUCCCCUUAAAUCUAGAACAAUCACCUUGCUCAGUUGCUUGGCCUCCCAGCAUGUUCCAUAUGACCUCUUUCUUUGCCCAUUUCCAUUGAAGAGACCAUCCCGGUGUUUGAAUAUGACGAUAUUGUUGGAAAUUAUACAGAGUAACUACAGCCUAUACAUUUACAAGAUUUACAAUGUAAGAACAAGAACAGAAAAGAAAACGGCAACUAUGGCCCCGUUAGAUAACAUUGUCGUUCCUGUUUCCUACUUUUUGUUUCUUGUUUGUUUAGAGAACUAAAAACACAAUUAUGUUUAGAAGUUAAAUUUUCCAUGACUAUCGUCCAUGUUUUGAAACGCCAGAAAGCGAGGCGCACACCACAAAUCGAAAUUUUAAACAUUCCUAAAAAUCCCCAUUUCUCUAUACAAACCAUCCGCCACAAAAAGCCAUUGUACAUUGACGCCGCACACAUAUAAACAAAGUAAAUUAGAAUAAAACAAAAACAUUAAUUCUCAUGAAAUGGACACAGUGAUGCAUAAAACUUACAACAUAUCCAUCAGCAGUCCAGCUCAUAAUAUCCCAUUUGAUAGUUAUGUUUCCAUUUGGAUCAAGUGGAUCAUACGCUUCUGAAAAAGAAAAUCAAAUAAAUAAAAAAGGAGAGGAAAAAAAAAAAAGACGAUAAAUCAGCAUCACCCUCUAGAGAUCAAACAGUGCUCGAAAGAUAUUAGUAAAAUAACAAUAAUUAAAAAGAUGAAACCCACAAGAAAAAAGUAAUACGAUCCAUGCACAGAAUUAGUAGCCCCAAGAAUAUAACCUAUAACUGUGUUAGGUAAACAUCAUUUCUCAUCCAAUAUUUAGGCACUCCUUUUUAACUUUGCUCUCAGUUUCUCUCCGAAAAUUAAACAAACAUAAAAUUAAAAUAAUCAUAACCAUAAUCACGAUCAACUUUCAGAAAAAAGAAGAAACAGGGAUUUCUCGUCAAAUUCCGGAGGCAGAAUCAUUUGUGCAGAGUCAUGCAGAGAGCAUAAUGCAUUAGCCAGAAAACUCUGAACCAACCACCCAUUUGAAAGUUCAAGAAAGAAGACCCAGAAAACUGAAGUCCACCCAGGUGACGAAGACCCAAAAAGAUCAAAAUAAAAAAAAUAAUAAUAAAAAAAAGGAGAGAAAUAAACCCCUGAAACUCAAAAGUAAUCCAUUUAAUCAGUCAUCAAAUUCAACAUAAGAAAAACAGAUUGUAGAGCCGGUCAGUCACAAAAGAUGACCAAAAAGAGGGAAAGAUAGAGACUAUUGUGAAAACAAUCAAACAAACUGCCACCCAUUAAGUCAAAAUGAGGGUAAAAAAAAGAGUAGAAAAAGAAACCAGAAGAAGAAACAAACCUGUUGAAGCAAGAAAGGUAGAGAAGGCAAGAAAAAGGGCGAGAAGGGGAAAGAGAGAGUGUAAUCUGGAAAUGGGUAGAGCCAUAAUCAUGGGUUUGGUUAAAAAAAAAAAAUAGUGGGUUCUGGGUUCGUGGGUUUUAAGCUUUUGUAACGUCUGAGAAUCGAAGAGAGAGAGAGAGAGAGAGAGAGAGAGGGUGAAAAGGAAAAAAAAACGCGGAAAGAAGAAAUGGGAAUGCAAGGUGAGGGUUGUUCUUUGCUCACUUGGCAAAUCGUUUUGAGGAGAGGAGUGGAGAUGAAAGGUUUUUGAGAGAGCCCACUGAGAAUUUCUCUCUUUCCAAUUGACAAAUAUACCAAACUGUCAGUUUCAUGCUUCCCUCAUCCUCCCUUAGCAGACAAAAAAAGUUUUUCUUUUGCCCAAAAUUUGGUCCCUAUUUUAUAUCCAUUUAUCAAAACAAAUACUUCUUCUUUACUAACCUUUUCAUUUUAAAAAUAUCAACCUUUCCUUUUAUUUUAUUCCUUCUACUCUGCCAUUCCAUCCAUUUCAAAGUCUACUAUCCAAUUCUCCCUAAAUAUUACAUUUCUCCCCUUUCCAUAUGUUUUAAUCCUCCUAAAAACAAAUCCAAUUACAUUCACAAUCUAAACUUAUUCAAAUUAUCUAUCAAUCAAACCUCAUUACCAUUAUACUCAUUUUCAUUACAACCUAGCAUAAAAUGUAAAAUAUGUAUAAAAUCUUGUUACAAUCAAAUUAGAUAUUAGGAGAAAAAAAUUAUAUAUAUUUUUUCUAUGGAUGAAUUAUGUGUAGAUUUUGAAUUUAUUUUAUGAAAAAAAAAGGUGGAUAUUUAAUAAAAGUAAACACAGCUACAAAGUGAGGUUAUGAUGUGAUGGCCAAAUUCUAUUUAUAUUACAUAAGGAAUAAAUGAGGUGUUGAUUUAGAGAAAGUUUGAAUAUCUAACCAAUUUAUUUUACUUAUGUUGAUGCCAUAUAUAUAUAUAUAUACCAUUUUUCUUUCUUUUUUAUUUAUUCAUCAUUUACAGCCUUACUAACAUACUACACCUUCUUUGAUAUAAUUUUGAGAAAAAUAAAACUCAACCAAAAGUUUUUAAAAACAAAAUAGUCCAAAAAUUGCUUUAAAUGAAAACAUUUUGUUAAAGUAUUUACAAAAACAAAAUAGUCGAAAAAUUGCUUUAAAUGAAAACAUUUUGUUAAAGUAUUUACAAUUGAAUGUAACAAAUUAUGACCCUAUCAAGUUAGACUAUUACACUAAUUUAUCUUGGUUUAUUGUGAUUCUAUUGAAAAUAGACGGUGAUAUUUUGUAAAUUUUUUAAAAUAUUUACUUUUAGAAUAAGUGUUGUACAUUUAAUUAGAAAAUUGAAAAUAUAUAUAUAUAUAAACGUAAAGAAACCCUAAGAACAAAGAUUGAAAUGAUGAUAUACCUAAAUUUCAAGAUUUAGAAAAGUGUUUUCUUAAAUUCCUUAAUAAAUAAAACGAAGAGUGCUCUUCUAUAAGAAACUGAGAGGUAAAGGUUUGAAAUAUGGAAGUUUCAAUUUUACUGAAAUAUUGAUAUAGAUGACAGUUUUGGAAAAGAUUUUAGAAAUUGUUAUCAUUACUUAUGCUCCAUAAUUACAAGACCUAAAUGUAUAAUGUAAAUGUGGAUGUAGGAGUCUAAUUUUUUUAAGAAAUGGAAAAAUAGUUACUAUAAAUAUAAAAAAAUUUGAAAUAUUUUAGGUGAAAUAAUGUGAAAAUGAAAGUUUUGAAUUAGUUAAUUUAAUGGGAAAAAAAAGUGGAAUGAAAAUAAAAAUAAAUUUAUGUUUUCUUUUUAUUUCUGAAAUCCAAUUCCUUUAUUAAUGAAGUUGAUUGUAUAAAUGAAAAAAGUUGAAACUUAAGAGAAAGAAAAAAGAGGAAAGCACCUAAAAAGAGUUUCAUCGAAAUUAGUAUGUGAAAAACUAUACACUAUACUUCUUUUUAAUAUGUUCAUAAAACUGUCAACAUCAGCUCGAACAGUUUUCAAAUUUGAAUCUCUCAUUCUAAGUUAGAGUAAAAAAAUGUAUAUAUCCAUAAAACUAAAAAUGUUAAUUAAUUAAAAACAAAAAUCAAAAUUCUCUAACUAAGAUGACAUUUUAAGUGAUUAAUAAAAAUAGUGUGGUAAGAAAAUAAAUUAUAAAUAGAUAAUGCAAUUCUUUAAUUUAAAGAUGCUUUCAGUAUAAGGUAUAAAAUUUCUAAAACUGGAAAUACUUAUUUUAUAUAUGUGUGUGUAUUAUGAUUGGUGCCAGCCAAUGAACUUUCUAACAUUAUUUGACAAUUAGAUAUUAACCUUUGAAAAUAAAAUAAAUAUUGAAAUAAUUAUAAACAAAACAUUUUUAGAAAGAAAGAAAAAAAAAACUGAAGAUGAGUGAAUGAGAAGUUAUAAGAUGUCAAAUUUUCAACUAUUUGUUAUUAGAAUUAUUAUUAUUAGAAGAAGUCAAAUUUCAACUCUAGACUAAAAAAAACAAUAAAUUUAAUGCUUUCCUAAUAAUCAAAUUAGCUGCCCAAGCUUAACUCACAGAACAAGAAAAAAAAAAAGAUUAAAUAUAUAACACCUGAAAUCUAAUUUUUAAAAAAAUGGAAAAUUAGAUUUAUAUUUAUUAGAUAUCUUAGGUAUAUAUACGGUAAUGUUAUAACAACGAUAUUUUUCAUAAUUAUUUUUAUUUUGGUGAUUUUGUUGAGAAAAAUCUUUUCUUUCAAUCUCUCUCUUCGUUCAUUCUUUUUUUUUUUUCGUUUUUUUUCGUUUUUCAUAUAUUUCAUCAAGUUAUAGUAUAUAUUGAAUAAUAUGGUGUAUAUGUUAUGACGAAAAGUUAUUAUAUCAAUUUGUCUAUAGAAGGUAGGCCGACAAGGAGAGAAAUCAGGGACGUAGGUUACGUUUUAGAAAAUUAAAAAAAUUUAAGUAAAAGUUUCAUUAUCCAAAUACGUUGGAUAUUAAUUCUUCACAAAAGACGCCGAAUAAUAGAAGAUUUGGAGAAGUAUAAGCAGUGAAGAAAAAGAACAUCGUCAGCUAACUGAUACAGUGAUCUUUCGAGAAAAAAAUUGACAAAAAUUUAAGGUUAAUAAGAAUUUAUAUUUCGUAUUCGAAAUUCAUUGGGGUAUAUUGAAUAUAUUGAAGAUAACAUCAUUUAUAUAGAAAUAAUAUAUAUAUAUAUAUAUAUAUAUAUAUAACAAAUAAUAGAAAAUAUAUGUAUUAUGCAAUAGUGUAUAUGUAAGAAUUUUAAAAAUUACUGAUAGGAUAACAGUUGUAUAUAAAUGCAAUAAGAAAAAAAAAUCACAAAACAUGAAAAAAAUCAUAUAUAUAGAUAUAUUAUUGAAUAUAUACAGUAGUAUAUAUAUAACAAAUCAUAAAACAUGAAUGAAUUAUUCAAUUGUAUAUAUGUACAAAAUAAUAAAUAAAAAACUGAAUGAAUAUGUAAUGUGUGCAUAUAUUAAUAUAUAUACGCAAUAAAAAAAUUAUAAAAAAAGAUAUGUACAUGUAUUAUUGAAUAUAUGUAAUAAAUCAUAAGACAUAAAUUUAUUAUUAAGUGGUAUAGUAUAGUAUAUAUGAAUGACGAGACAUUUAAAAAAAAGUUUACGUCGAACAUGACAAGAAAUUGAUUACAAAGCUAAUAAAUAUAAAUAUAUAUGUAUUAAUAAUUAAGGAUGUUAUCAUUUACCUAAUAAAUUGAAUAUAAUGUAAAUAAGAAAACAAUUUAAAUUUAAUUAUAUAUAAUUAAUAAUUACGAUAAAAUUGUCUUAAACAUAGAGAAAAACCUAAUAAAUAAAAAAAUAAAAAAGUUUAAGAGAUUUGGGAAAUUUUGUAAUAAAGUUAUAUCUUUUAUCUCAAUAUUUCUUGUAUAGCAUAGAAAAAGGGUAGAAUAGUGGAGAAGUAAAAUAAUUAUAUGUAAUUGAAGUCAUGUUAACGAAGAGAUGAUAGUUUAGGGGGGAAAUAGUGUAACUAGUGAAGGAAAAAGUAGUUGUGAAUGUGAAGUAAUUAAAUGGAAAUUAGUUUAAAAAAUUGAUAAUUGAAGAAUUUAAUUUAUAAUAUUAAUAAAUAGAGAGAGAGAGAGAGAAAAAAAAGGCAGAAAAUGUAGGAAGAAAUAAUAGAAAAGGUUUGGGUAUAUGGUUGAAAAUAUUUAUAAAAAAAAGUAAUUUAAAGUUGAGUGGGUUUGAGAAUAAAUAAAAAUAGUUAGGGGGUUUAAUUUGGGGAAGGAAAGGGGAGGAAGUGGAAUUGCAUGGUGAACAGAUGGAAAUACAAAUAGUACAGCUGUCUUUGGGAUCUUUCUAGAAGAAGUUGUAUCCUUUGCUGUCCCAUUCCCAUUUCCCAAACAUUCACUCUUCCCUUUCCAACUCUAAAACUUUCAAAUUUUCAUCUUUAUUAAUUAAUAUUCAAACUUUCUCAAUUCUUUUUAUUCUCUUUACUACUUUACCCUAAUACCUAAAACCACUAAUGAAGAAGGGGUUAUAACCCUUUUCUUCUUCAUACUUUACCUUCUUUUUUAAUGUUUCUUCCACUCUUUCUUUUUUAUAUUUAAUCAAUUCUUUUCUUUCUUUUUUCUAUAUUUUAAUCUUUUUAUUUUAAAAACAUCAUUUAUUUUUAACUUACGAUCUUCCUACAAUUACAUUCCUUUUAAAUUUUAAGUUUUUCUCUUAUUCUUAUUAUCCAAUUUUUGUCCUUAUAUUAUUUCACCCCUAUUUUUCUUUUGCUCAUCUCCUAAAAAAAACUAGAACGAUUUUAUAAAUUAAAUAUACAAAUAUUCGUGUAUUGAAUCUGGAAUACGAAUUUUAAAAAUAAUAAAUAAUUUUCAUAAUCCUUUUCACGUAAUUCUCUCUCAAAUAAAUAUUUUCAUAACACUAGAAUUAUUAUAAUUUCUUUUUUCUUAACUCUUUCCUUCCCGAUACUAUACUUAGUGUUCAAAAUUGAUGAGAAUUUUAUAUUAAACUUUACAAAAAAUUUACCCCAAAAUUUCAUUAUACACUAUAUAUAUAUAUGUAUGUAUGUAUUGUACAUUUUGAAUUAUUUAGUUUUUCCCUUUUAGCCUUAAAUUUUGAUUGAUUUGUUUCUAAAUUUUUGGAAAUUUGCUUCUUUUCUUAUAGAUUACAAUUUUUUUUCUCCAAUUUUUGCCUUACCAUUGUGUUUUCAUUAAACAUUGGUGGUUUGUUAUGCAUUUAAUGCAGCAUAAUAUUUGAAAUUUAUUUUAUGAAAUUUCAUGUAUUUUUUUUAUAAUACAUUUUAGGUCAAGAUGGUGAUCUAAUGAGAUCUUUAUAUGUCAAAUGUAUUAGAAAAUAUAAAUGUUUGUGAGUGGACUUCAAACAAGUGUAGAAGAAGGCCAAAGGAGACACAUAUCCUAAUCUUAGUUGGACAAAGAUAAAAUCAUAGCUCAGUCUCCUAUAAAUACAUCCUUUUUAGGGUUUCAUAUAAGGUAACUUAGACAUCUGACUUCUUCUCUAUUAUAUAAUUCUCUUAUUGACUUAGGUAUAGACAUCAAUUUUUUUUCUUUGUUUUGCAGAUCCUCUCUCUCCCAAAUUACAAAAUUCCACUGUUGAUGUCACGUGAGGGUCAAGUGUGCGUUUUUUCUUGGCCAAAAUUUGGCAUCAACAAUAAAUAUACUUCACAUCUAUCAUGUGGUUCUAAAAAUAAAGUUAAUUUUGGAUCUUAUUUUGGGGUUUUCUUUAAAGGACUAAUUGGAGACUUUUGGAGCAAUUAUGAAGUCCAUCAAUAGUUGAGUUGGUUUUUAAAUUUCGAGGACAAAAUUUCUUAAGAGGGGAAGAGUUGUGAGACUUGUUUCUAAUUUAAGUAUAAGAAGAAAAAAAUCUGGUAAGUGUUUUGAAAAUUUGCGUUUUGGAUAAGAGGAGGCGUUUGAAGUUACACUUCGCGAUAAGAAGUUGACAUUGGAAUUAAUCCAUGAAAGGAAUUAAUUGAUAAAAUCUUUUAUAGUUAAGUAUAAGUUUUGUGAUUAAGAAAUUAAUUUGUGAGAAAAUUUGCGAAAAAAAUGAUAUGCGGCAGGACCUAUAAGCCUAAACAUUCACAAGAGAAAGAGCCUUCGUGAGAAAAAGAGUUAUUCGAAAGCUAUGUUGAGUGGUUGAAGUUAUUCACGGAAUGAAGUUAGGCGAGAAGAAAGGUCUGACGAAGAAAAUGUCAAAUCUGAUUUGACAGAGGUUAACGUGUAAGAUUAAAAAUUUAAGCAUGGGUGAGUUAAAUAUUAAAUUUAUAAGUGUAAAGUUUUAAGCAAGAGCUGGCGAACUGAGAAGAGUGAAACCAUAACUAAGUUAGUUUAAGGAUUUUCUAUAAAUAGAGGACUUGAUCAUUAAGUAAGCACAGAGGUUUUUUUUUUUAAAAGAAAAACUAAAAUGUUGUUGUUUUGUUUUGACGAGAAGAAAAACAAAGUGUUAAGUGACGCGGUUUGUUCCGCGAGAAGACUCCGCAAAAAGAGAAGGAAGAGGAGGAUCUUUGGUAAAGUGUGGUGAGCAGUGGCAGAUCCAUAAAUUAUUGACAGGGGGCUUCGAAUUGUAACUUAGAGAAAAAAAAUAAAAAUCUAGAAAAAACCUACACAAGUAAGACUUAAAAACUCUAGUUGGAAGGGGGGUGACAAGCAUAGUUACAACUAAACUGUCUACAAAUAUUAAAUAUUAAUUGGUUUUAUUUAUAGAUAUUAUAUAAAGACAAUAAAGUUGAAAGGGAGCUCAAGACCCCAGGCCUAUACUAAAUCUAUCGGUGAUGGUGAGUGUUUUCUCUUCGAUGAAUUUAUGUUAAAAACUUUAUUAUGAUUUUUCUUUACUGAUUUGAGAGAAGAAUUAAAAUGAGAAGUGUUCCAAAAGAGAUUUCUAUGAAAAGUGUAUAUGUUUUCAAGCAUAAUUUAUAAUGUUAAGGCUUGAUUUGAUGAUUAUGAUUUCAAUACUAUAAAUGGUUUUCAAACCAUUAGUUGUUUCCUUGAGAUGAUGCUAACUUUUAUGUGCACAUAAAGAGUCAAGGCCACCAUGGGGUGUACGAGGCUACAUGGUGAUAAGAAGCUAGCUUAUGUGUUGAAAUGAGCCUAUAAAAGCUUAGCAGUCUGAGCAACAAGGACGAAUUUGUAUGUUCUCGGAUGCUAUUAAUACAGUAGUCUAAACACGAGGUAAUUAAUGAGAUCAAGUAUAGAGAAUCAUUCAGGAUUCUUGGUGAAAAGAAUAAUUGACUAAUGAAUGUUUAUGUGAAAUAUAUAUUGAUAUAUGAUUUGUGAGUUGAUUUAAUUCUAUUGUAAAAGUGAUUACAUGUGUUUUGACAUGUUUUGCGAAAUAAAGUGUUUAUUGAUAAACUGAUUUGUGUUGGUAUUUAUGAUUUGACGAAAAUGAUUUAAUAAAAUCUCACUAAGUCUUUUAGAGUUACAUUUUAAAAUUUUAUCUUCCAGGAUUUGACGUUUAGGCCAAGUAAAGAAGAAGGUUGAAGGGCUUGCGAUGAGUUUAAAAAACCACCAGGCGUUAAAGAGUUUUCAUAAAUGUUAUUUAUUUGAUCAAAAUGUUGUAAUUAUUUGUUCUUUCCAAACACCAGUUAUUAAUAAAGCGUACGUUUUGGGUUAUUUACUUAUUGCACUUGGCUUUUAAAGUUGACUCCUGCUGUGUUUUGAGUUUCACUUGAUAGUUUAAAACGAGUUGAAAAUGAGCUAGAUGAUAAAGCUAAUUGAAAAGUUUAAGUCCUAUUUGCAUUACUUCCUGCAUUCUGGUUGUCUUGCGGAUUGGGAUGUGACACUAAGCGAGAGGAAGGAUAAAUAACCUCUAAAAAUGGUGCUAGGCAAGAUGACAUAAGUAAGCAACAAGACUUGUGUAUGAAACCUAGGCGAGGAAACCUCUAAAGGAAAGGUUUAUGGGCACCAAGGGCACUCAGGCGAGGAGAAAGCAAGUCUUGAGAGGUUAUUUGAUGUUGAGGGAAGACACUAGGUGAUCAAGAGGCUAAGUGAGAAGGCAUGCACACAAGGAACUAAGAAGGCUUGUGGCCAUGUGAAAAGAUGUUAGCAUGACAUUUUGCUUAAGGUUUGGGCGUUUUGCUUAGAUUGGGCGAGGAUGCAAAGAUGGUGAUUGAUCUAGACAAGCCGAUUAAGUGAAUUCCAGGUGCAGAGGUUUGAACUAAAGAAAGAAGGAAAGGUCAUUUUUUGAAGAGAACUUGAGCAGUCUUGAUUUCUAGAUGACUAUAGAACACAUUUCUUGGAGUUUUUGGCUAAAAUUUGGAGGUUCUGUAUAAGAAAGGAAAUUCUUGGUAAGGUUGAAGCUAGACCGAGUGUCAAAACAGGCGUGGCGAGCAGGACGUGCGUUUGAGGUUAAAAGAGAAGGAGAAGAAACUGAGAAAAUUUACAAGCUAAGAGGCUAGCUACCGUUUGAAGAGAUCAUGAUCCCCGAGCUUGACCUGCAAUCACUAGUCUACUGUGCCAACAUUGUUAUUAGACUUUUGUUUACUUAGUGGUUAGUUUUUCAUGUUAAGACUACAUCUUGUAAAUAUGUCUUAAGUAUAGAAGUUUGUUGGGUUAUUGACAGGCGGUUCUUGUUUUGAUUUAAUAGCGUUGGUCUAUAAUUAAAAGUAUGUGGUCUUAACUUAUAAACAGGGUUGUGUUUGAAAAUUUUGUUUAAUUAAUAAAAUAUAGUGUUAAAGCUAUUGACCCGCUGAUUAAUCUAUUAAGUUGUUAUGCUUUACAUAAAUGUUAUAAUGUCUGAUAGUUAGGGUCAAUAGGUGUCGUUUAGUAGUUAGAGGCAGAAUUUGUCGGCUUCACACCACCUCUUAGAUCGAGAGUAGAUGGUUCGGAAGGUGGGUGUGAUAUGGAGUGUCAACCAAGAAAUUUUUAGCUAAUCUCAGGUAAGAGAUUUCUACUGCUGGGACCUUCAAAAUUAAGAUUUAAGCGCAUUGCAUGGGUUGACUGAUUAUGCAUUGACGGUAGCUAAAAUGCAUAAAUGGGUUUAUAGGAGAUAUUAGCUGAAAUUGUAUGACUUAUUUAUAUGAUUGAUUAUGCGAUUAUGGAUUAUUGAAUAAUGUUGCAUGUUAUGCCUAUUGUUGGACUAAGUUGACUUUUAUGUGCUUUCUGGACAAAUGGUGGCUGCUAGCUUUGACUAUCACGAGAUCACCACCUUUCGACUGAUAUGACUGAUGUGUGUUUCUACGGGAUCACCAGGCUGAUAUGACUAAUGUGUGUUCCUACAGGAUCAUCAGACUGAUAUGAUUGAUGUGUAUUCCUCUGGGAUCACCAGAUUGAUGUGUGUUCCUUUGAAGACAUAGGGUGCAAGAUGAAAAUCACUUGUACGAGUUUACAGUGAAAAUCACUAUAUAUAUUUUUUUUGUAAGUUUUCAAUGCAUAAUCAAUCCUUAAAAUUGAUGCAUCUAGGGUGAUAUUUGACUCAAUUACUUUUGUUACAUGAUUACUUACAUUUUUCAAGUUUAUGUAUUUUGAAGACGCCAUAUAGACUUUUUUUUCGUGAAUGUCCGCUAAGGCUAAUUCAUCUUGUGUAUUCUUUUGUUCAUUUUGGUGAAAGUAUUAAUGAUUUAGAAUAUUUUCUUUUUUUAAAUUUAUUGUUUGAAUGUUGGAUAUAUUUUGUUACAAGAAAUUUAAUUCUUUAUUUGAAAAUUGAUCUAGAAGACACCUAUGAUAAUAAAUGUAAAACAAAUUAAAAUAGGUUUUGCCCACUUUUCUUUUGUGUUGUUAAAAAUAUGUUUGUAGUUAUAAAGCUUUGGUGAUGUUUUGUGCAUCAACUAAAAUGAACACAAAUAUUAUCUGUCGACGUAUCAUGUGUUGCAAAAAAUGCAAUUUUUGUCCAAAGAAGCCUUUUACAUGGACAAAUGUUCAUUUCUACUAAUGAAUCUUGGGUGGGAAGAAGUUGCAUUUUGUCAAUGAAUCUUGUGUGGAAAAAAGUUGUAUUUUAUUGAUUAAAUAUUUUGCAUUCGUAGAAAUAAUUUCUGUCCAUGGAAAGAACAUGAGUAGAAAUGCUAGGGUGACAUUUUGCUUAUGCUUUUAUUAAGAUAUGUCAACGAUUUUAUGGGGAGACCAAAUUUCUUGUAGUGAUUGAACCUAUUUAUUUUGGCUAUAUAUAAACAUUCGUAGAAAACUUUAAGCUAACUACACAAUAAGUCUAGUUGUUUUCAAUUGAAGUCUAAUUAGUUUGCUAGUGUAUUCCGUUUAAAUUAUAUUCAAAGUAUCCCAAUGUCUUUUUAAUAUUAGUGACACUACUACAAAUUUGGUGUUUCUUGACGUACACAAAUUUUGAUUUCUUGAUGGUCAUGGCAACGGGCCAUCAAGCAAAAUAUUUUUCUUGAUACAAUGUUUAUCUUGACGAACAUGUAUGUUAAGAAAAGUCCCCUUAUUUUGUUGAAGAAAUACAAAAAAAACACAAAAAACUGUGAAUUCUUGAUUUCCUUGAUGGACAAAGUUCCCUUAGUUUUGUUGAUGGUCCACAAACGUCAAGAAAACUAUUUAUCGAUGGACAAUAAAUAUCAAGGAUAAUAUAUUAGUUGGCUGGUAAAACCCAUCAAGUUAUUUAGGUUUUCUUGAUGAACGAGGCCCAUCAAGAGAUACAUUUUCUUGUGGCCGUCAUCGAAAAAAUUAAUAUAUUGGUUUAGAUUUCUUGAUAGGUUUAGAAUUUUCUUGAUGGGUCUAGGGUUUCUUAAUGGACAAAGAUAAAAAAAAGAUCAUAGGUAAGGUCUAGGGUUUUUUUGUGGGUUUAUGAUAAGAUCAUGGACAAGACGCAUCAAGAAAACUGAUAUCUCGAUGGGCAUUGCCCAUCAAGAAAAAACAAGAUAUUCAUCAAUAAUAUUCUUAAAUCUUUACUGUUUUUUCUUCAAUUAUUACUUUCUAUUCAUCAAUAAUAUAAUAUUAUUUUUUUUAAUCAAAAUUAAAUAAGUUAUUAUGUUCAACUUUAAUGAGUUGAAUUGAAAGUCUGUAAUUUAGUGUUUUUAAAAUUCGUAGAAAUUGUAGAAGCAGGCCAACAUGAGCUUAACUUAACUGGAUAAAAUUAUUCCAUUAAAGCAUUUUGAGCAAUUUAUUCUAAAUGUCAAAUGAUGAGAAUUAAAAUAAAAUUAAGGGUUCUUUAAAAAAUAUAUUUGGUACACGAUCGUUUAGAUAACCAAAUUCGUGUACUAAUAUUCCAACGAUUUUUUGUUCAAGAUAGUCUUUUAUAUUUGGUACACGAUCUUGAACCUAAUAACACCUUGAAAGAAAAAGCAAUAUAAGAUUUAUGAUUGAUUGAAAACAAAAAUCAUGAAUUCAAAAAGGAUAUAAAAGAAAAAUUGCAGGAGAAAAAGAGAAGAAAGAUAAAAAGAAAAAGAAAAAUUGUAGAAAAAGUUGAGAAGAAAGUUGAUGAAAGGAAAAAAAUAUAGCAAGUAGAGAAUAAGAAAAUGAAAAGGAAGAACAAGCUUAGAAUAUUUUUAAAAAAUAGUCGAAUUCGUGAGUUUUUUAAUUUUGUCACUGUAGUAAAUAUUUAUGUGUUUUUUUUUAUAUUUAUAAAAAUUAAGCAACAAAUAUAUAAAAUAAGUAAUUUCAUUUUAAUUAAAAAUGUUUAGGUUAUAAUUUUGAGUGCAUGCAUCUUAAAAUUGGGUAUUAUAGUAUGUAACUUUUUUUGUUAGAGAAUUAUGUAAUAAUUUUAGUGAUUUUUCUUUUUUAAGUUACUUAUGGAGUAAGUAAAAUUAUAUAUAAAGAAAAUUGGUUGAGAAGAGGCGGAAUGCAGGGUGGGGCGAGCGGUGUUUGCAAAAUUCUCUUUUUAACGUAUAAAUGGCGGCCUAAGAAAUGGGCCAUAAAAGGCUUUCUCAUUCAUCAAAUGUGCCCAUGCCCAGUCUACUUCCGUCCGGCCCAAAAAUGAAUCCCCCUUUGGAAUUUAGAUCCAAUGAUAAGACUCAUACAUAACUAACCAUUCAAUUGCGCUCAUUUGUUAUUCAUCUUAUUACUCUAUUUCAAGAAUGACAAAGAUUUACAGAAUUAGCCUACUAUAACUAAUGUUUCCUAAACGUCUUAAAAUUUUACUCUUUUUAAAAAAAUACAACAAAAUGAAAAAAUAUUUACAUUCUAUUCAACAAUUUCAAAAUGAGAAAAAGCCUUCAUGCUCACAAUAAAAAAUACCAAAAAAGUCCCUCUCAACACGUGAUUAAUUUGCUAUUGCGCGCGUAAUAUAUUUGGUACACAACGAUCAUCUAGAUUUGGUUACUCAAAUCUAAAUGGUUUUUUUUUUCAAGAUUCCUUUGGUACACGAUCGUUUAAGUUUAGUCCACAAUCGUUUAGAUUUGGUCCAUGAUCGUACUAUAUCUAAACGACUAUCGUGUAUCAAUAUCCCAACAAUUUUUUUUUCUUUAUAUUUGUUACACGAACUUGAAUAACCAAAUAACAGUUUGAAAAAAAAAAUAGAUCUUUUAUAUUUUGUACACGAUCUUGAACAUUUGGUACAUGUUCUUGAACUAAAUAACAGUUUGAAAAAAAUAAUAAAAAAAGAAUUGGAGAAGAAGAAAAAAAGACAGAUGGAAAGAAAAAGAAAAAUUGUUGAAGAAAGAAGAUAGGAAGGAAGGGCAAACUUCAAAUAUUUUUUUAAAAAUAUGGGAGUUCACGGACAUUUUGAUUUUGAUAUUUAUUAUAUUUAUGAAAAGUUUCCUUUUUUUAUUUUUUUUGUAAUAUUUCAUAAUUAGAUUUUAGGAAUGUUUUAACCUUUUAAUUUUCUCUCAUAUUUUUAUUUCUUAAUGUUUUUAAAUAAAAAAUAUAUCAUUUAUUUAUUUAUUAGUUAUAUAAUGAUUUUAUUUAUUUUUGAAAUAUCAUUGAUUAUCAGAUAAUUUUUGAAAUAUUUAACUCUUUGUUUAUUAACAUUCGUUUCCAAAUUUGACUUUAUUUUUUCAUUUAUCAUUUUUGGUUUAUAUUCAUUUAAUACAAAUUAUUUUCAAUUAAUUUUUCCUCAUUUUGGGAAGAUUUUGUUUAUUUUCUUUUAUAUUCUUAACAAAAAUAUGUUGUCGCGUCCCACCCCAUACACAUCCUUAACCUUGGCAUGCGAGACAAAACACGAGUUGAGGAAUCCUAGCGCAUCUACUGCGAAACGCUAGAACGCUCGCUUAAAUCCUUAAACUACCAUGCCUAAAAGAACACCAUAACACAAUAGAGUAACAAACAACACAACUUCACUUUUAUUAGCUUAACCACAUGCGUUCUAUAAUCAUAAUACAUGAAUCCUUAAGUACAUAAUUUAAACACAAGACUUUAGAACACCUAGUUCAACUUCCAACUUUAUUUGCCUUCUUUCACUCAAACUUGACCUCAUCGUCUGAUCCAUGGGGAAGGAAAAACUUAAAACAUAAGUCAAUGACUUUGUGAGUGAUAAUUUUGAAAUUCUUUUUGGGGAAUACAAAGCAAGCACACAAAUUCCUUUUUAUUUUUAUAAAUAGGCUCUCAACGCCUCAUUUUAUAAAACAUAUAAAUCACACAUUAGUCUUUACUUAUUCCUUUCUACCGAGAACAUGAACUGUUCCCUCACAAAGACUUGGGAUUCCUUUCCUUUCACCAACAUCCUUUGGGUAAUCUCUUUGUUUCAUUUUUCUUUGUUUAGGUCGUUCUCUUAACGCCUUUACUCAUCAUGUGCACAUCACAUAAUAAUAGUUAGCUCAUUGAUAGGAACAAAGCUAAUGGUUUUACUCAUAUAUAAGCACCACAAUCAUCAAUCAAGAAACAUCAGUUUAUAAGAGACAUCAGUUUAUAAACUUUCUUUUCAAAUAAACAACAUCAAUAUCAACAAUAAUAACUCACAGUAAAUGUACGCAUACAACAUGAGACUUAGAAAGAAAGCUUUUAAACUAUUUCUUUUAAAAAUUCACUCACAAACUUGAAGUUUGUCCCUUAGCUUGAACUCUUCCUUUCUCCAGCAGCCUUAAUACUUUAACUAAACUUUUGAAAAUUUCUAAAAGACAUGAACAUCUUAUGAACUUACGCCCUUAAACUUUCCCUUUUAUAGAACCCUCUGCGUAACCUCUUUGUGACACCUAAACUCAUAUUUUCUAUUCACUUCUUACCUUUUAAUUUUGAGCUUACACCUCCUACUCGUCGAAAUUUAAGUCUUUGCAUGUCUUUACAAUCUGAAAUCUAACUCACCGAACACUUAACUUUUUAGUGAUCUCGGUUGAAAUUGGCUCGAGAUUACCUCAAGAACCUAAACAAAUCAUCCUUUGUCUCCAGUCUCGAUCGAACACAACUUCGAAAUAGAACCAUGAUCCCUCAAAUUUCUUGUUUUACCUUCAAUUUCAGCUAGACUUGUCCUCGAGAUGGUUCGAGAUCUCCUUAGACUUGCUUUUCUACGUUCAAUCUUGGUCGAACUUGACCCUAAGAUUGCCAGAGAUUCCUCUAGUUUUUUCUUUCUCUUAUUUUAAUUUUGGUCAAAUCUGAUGGAACACGAGACAUGAACGAAAUUACGAGAUCUAUUUUACUCUAAUUGCAACUAAACUAUUUAGUAAUUAACAUGCUUGAACUACCCUAAUUAAACGAAAUUAGGGUUUAUGAAUAUGUACCUUUGUAGCUUCUCGCUCCUCGUAAUCUCCUCACAAACUCAAAUCGAGGACCACCACUAAUGUUGACCGACUAUUCUUUAGACUUAGAACUGGGUUGUAAUACUCUCCAAGUGAAGGAAAUUGAGAAAGAUAUGAAAAUUGAAGAUUUGAUUUUAGUUUUGAGAUUUAGAAGAGAAAAAAAAAUUUUGGUAUCAUUUUGUAAAUUAAAAUUACCAAAAUUUUCAAAAAAGUCUUCAAAUAUUUGAAAUAAGCCCUUUAAAUAACCUAAUUACACAUGCAUUUGUUGACCAAGUCUCAACACCUAACAUUCCACUAACUAUUAGUGGAACUUAGUGGGCUAAGUGUUUACAUCUUCUGUAGCCACUUAUCUCACUAGUGUUAGUAAAAUUAUCCAACAAAAUGUUAAAUUUUUUCACUAACUUUAGUAAAAGGGCAAUAUGGUCAUUUAACCGUUCAAGUCAAAGUUUUUCAAGUCAAAAGUCAACAUUUUUACUUUUUACCAUUUUGUUUGUCUUGACUAAUUUCAACCUGUAACACUAUGGAUACGACUCAUUUUGUAUACGACUCAUUUUGUAUUUGAUACAAAUGCAAUGAUCCAACGCGUUCGUGUAGGUGAUAUGCGAGUGAGGGUAUCCUAUGCAAUGAGUUUGCAUAACACCGGACCACGAAAUAGUAACCACUAGAUGUAACUCCGUUAACUAGUUAGGUCUUUACUUUAUUAGGAUGACAUAGGUAACUUAGUCUUAAUCCUGAGUGUAUUAUGAACUCCUAUUCAUGAGGGAUUGUUCUUUGGUUUGUACAGGGGAGAGUGGCCAGAUCAUCGACUCAAUAUGCUUAUCAUUUUAGGGACAAGACCGAGUGGGGAGCUGCAAACAUAAUUACAUAAGAUAAAAUUCGCUCAUUCUCUACUUUAGGGUAAGUAGAUGAGUGUUCCCUUAUAUGGUGUUUUCGAAACUUGAACAAAUGGUCAUACCCUCUUAAUGGUAUAAGAGGAAUUUCUGUUUAUUGGUUGGACCAUAAACAUGUUGUUCAUUAGAGUAACAUUGUAUUUAAGGACUAAAGGUAACCCAAGGGUAAAAUGGUAAUUUGACCUAGCUGGUGUUACAAACACUUGUAAAUGACUAACUUACUGUUAUUGGUGUAUAUCCAUGGACACAUAAAUAUUUCUACAAUGAGAAGAGUUCAGUUGUGAGUCUUUGUUGGAGUGUACACACAGUUAACAAAUAUUGAUUCAUGUGGUUAAUGUGUUUAGCCAAUUAAUUUCAUAUCGUUGUAACUUUUGAUCUGUAGGUCUAUUAGGUCCCCUUUCUAGUUCAUAAAGAGUAAAUGAGAUUUAUUUGUAUUGGUUGUAAUUUGAAAUGUUCAAAUUCACUUUGAGAAUUAAUAUAAUAUAUGGUACAUGAUACAUUAUAAUAUAAAGUUUAUAUUUUAAUUAAACUUUAUUAAAUAAAUUUAAUUUUAGAUAUGAUUCAAAAUUAAUUCACGAGAAAAUAAAAUACUUGGAUGAGUUCAAAUAUUAACUUAAUGUGAAUUAGAUUCAUAUUAAAACUACAUGUUAAAAUUUAAUAGGUAUAUGAUACACAUUAAAACAAAAGGUUAGGAAAGAAAUUUAUAUUUGAAAAAUGAUUCAAAUGUGUAUUAAAUUAAAUAUAAGAUAUUUAAUUUAAAAACUAAUUAAAAAUUAAUUAAUAGUUUAUUUUAAUUUUAUUUAAUUAAAUUUGAUUUAAUUCAAUUAAUUAAAUUAAAAUUGUAGGUUAUGAUAUAUAUUUAAAUGAAUAUGAAAUAUUAAUGAAAUAUGAUUUAAUUAAUUAUUAAUUUAAUUAUUUAAUUUAUUUAAAAUUAAAUUAACAAGGAAUAUAGGUGGUUUUUCCACGUUCUCAUAUUUUUUCUAACUUCUCUCUUCUUCAAAAGAGAGUUAUCAUAACCAAAAAGAUUUACAUAACAAUUUUGAUAUGUUUUUUUCUUCUUAUCAUUCACUCGAAAAUUUUUCAUCCCAAAUUUGAUUCCAACAAACCAAUCUAAGCUUAGAGAAUAGGAAGGUCUCCAAGUGGUGGUGUCCAAAAUUCAAUUCAGAGUCGUCAAUGAGAAUAAGUUUUCGCCUCUGUAAUUUCUAUUUUUUAAAAGCAUGUUUAGUGUUAUAGUAUUAUAGAAAUUUGUUUCUGUUUGAUUUUGCCAAGGUACUGGUAUUUUUAAGUUUCCAUUAAAUUGAGUUUAUGAUUUUGUUAAUUUUCCGUUGCGUAGGGCUCUCGUCCCUUCACCCAUGACAUGCUAUAUGAGGACUCAGUUCUGCUUCUGUUCUUCUAUUUAUUAGUUUUCCAGUAUUUUUAUUUUUUAUUUCAAGUUUUAUCUUAUUUAUUUAUUUUUGUGUUCUUUAAAAUUUUUACAACCCACGAGCCAUGUUUUUACGGUAUUUUACUAAAUCUGUAAAUUUUAUGUCGUUUGAACAUUUAUAUUUUAUUAAUUUCAUAAAAAAAUUUAAUUUUUCUCUUUCGAAGAAGUGUCUUUUUGUUGUUGGUUUUUUGAGUAAUGACUUCAACUUAAUAUAAAAAGUUGGAUCAUUAGAAUAUAAUUGAUUUGAGAUUUAACAUUUGAAGUUUAGAAGUUGCAAGAUGCAUGUGUGCUUUAUGUUUGCAAGAUACAAAAGCAGUAGCUAAAAACUUCCUAAAAUUUGUGUAGAAGCAUCAAGACUAUAAAUCACAUAAAACAAGCAUAUAUGAUUGAUUUAAGAUUGAAGUUUAGAAGUUGAGAAAUGUUUAUGAAAUGAAAAAAAUCAAUAAAAGCUUACUAAAUAUUUAUUAAACAACCUUAAAUCACUUCCAACAACUAUAAAAUUGAUUUUAGGUUAUACAAUAAUUACGUUUCACCAAGAGAACAUUAAAGACUAAAAAGAUUAUCUAUAACAAAAAGAAAGUAUAGAGAAGUUAGAGAAAUAUAUAAGAGAAAAGGUAGAAAAAAACAUUUUUUAAAAUAUUUUCGAAGGAAAAAUGAAAAAGAAAAGAAAAUUUUCAUGUAAUAGUAUUUUUAACUUUCGAUGUCAAUUGAGCUAAAGUCAUGGAGUGGGGAGAUGGUAAUUUAACAUUUUCGAUGUGCAUAUUUAUAUAUAAGAAUGUUAAUAGAGGUAGGGUUUGAGUGGAAUGGUAAAAAGAGAGAUGAUUAAAUAUGAAUGACUCUCACCUUUAAUCAAACAGAUUUAUGAUAAGUGGGGGCGGAUUGGGUGUGAUACAAAAUCCAUCCAUUCAUAUUCAUCCAACUCUCUUCAAAUGACAACCCCCAAAACACCAAUUAUUUAGACAGUGAUGGCCACGUGAAUGAUCACUAUAAUUUCACCUCAAUUUUCUCUCUUUUUUUAUCAUUAUCUAUUCCCCAAUUCUAUAAACUUAAAACCUUACAUCCACAAAUUCUUCACCCUUUUUCAUUUCUUCCAAUUUCAUUCACGUAAGCUGCAAUGGCGACCGCGGCAGCACCCUCCACCACCGCCAUGACAAUCCUCAUUUUGACGCUAACCAUAAGUAGUUAUUGCAACGCCGCUUCUGUACUUCCUUCAAAUUUCGCUAACGAGACGAUCACGGCUAUGACAUCCACCAUCUUUUGUAAUGGACUCCUCCAACAGUGCUUCAAUGUUGAAGAAAAUGGCAUCCAUUAUUAUUCUACUCCAAGAACUGGAAGUCGAGCUUCAAGCGUAUGUGGUCGGUUCUAUAAUGGAAGCUAUAUUAAAUGUAUAACAACCCAAGGAUCCCCCAAACCGAAGGAUUGUAGAAGUGCUUACGAUCGCACCUGUUCUAGUUAAGAAUACAGAAGUAUAUAUAAGGUAUAUGUACGGUGUAGCUUGUUUUUUUUUUAUUUAUUUUAAAUCACUAUUAACCCUUCUUCUUUACUUGAUCUUCAUAAUGCAAUUUUAUUAUAUUAUACGUAUUUUGGUACUUACUUAAAUAUCUGUUUUGUUUGUUUGGGUUAAAAAUUGAUAACCCAUAUACAUUGGGGAGGAGGACCAAUCAAUUAUAUAAGCUUCUCUCCUUCUAAUUUUUUUUUAUUUAUAUCUUUUUUUUUUUUUGAAGUAUAAUGUGUUUUUACAUAAAUUGUGAAGUGGAGGAUUUUGUUUAUUUUUUGAAUUGUAUGUUUCAAUUAUUGAGGUUCAUAAAUAACUAAAAGGGAUAUAUAUAUAUAUAUAUAUAGGAGUGGGUACUUUCGUUUUUAACUAUAUCUCUCAUAAUUUAUCUUUUAGGUUAUUGGAUAACUAUAAGUUUUAUUGUUUUCAUUUUUUUGUUUCUAAAUUUCAAGAAACAUUUUUAUAACAAGAGAGAAAUUCACUCGAACGAAAAGAUGUUUAUUGUAACACUAUUUUACCAAUAAUAUGACAAAUGUUGCAAACAAUUAUAAAAUAAUUGUAGCGCUUUUAGCAACACAUGACUAGACAACAAUACAAGAAAAAAUGGUUUACGACGAUAGUUAAAAUUAGUGACAAUUAUUUACAGUUAUAGUAUCACAUGUUGUGGAAAGUUCUUUUAUGACAGUUUUUAUAAUAAAUGUUUUCACGACAGAAAAUAAAUGACAUAUUUUAAUAUUUUAUGACAACAAAUAACUGUCAUCUUUUAUUUUAUGACAACAAAUAAUAGUGUCAUCAUUUGCAUACUGACGACAGUUAUGAAAAUGUCACGAGUUUAUAUAUUAUGACAUUUUUUUUCCUGUUAAGGAUAUGUCAAUCGUGAUGAUUUUUAUAAAAGAAAAUGCCAAUGCUUUGAUAUUGAAGACAGUUACAAAAUGUCACAAAUUCGUAUAUUGUAACAUUUUUUU
rnacentral:lncRNA from 1 species